rnacentral:lncRNA from 1 species
AUUCAAGGAUCAAAGAAGACUAGCAGACAAAGGACAUCCUAAUCGCUGUCAGGGUGCUGCCGACAUUCAAAUACACCUCUGUCACCUCCUAGCUCCAUCAAAAGAAAUUACAUCAAAAUCCAACUUGGGGGAGAGCACCCCAUUUAUCCAGCUAAGUGCUUCUAUCUACGUUUAUACUUAUAUUUUUUUAAAAUAAUAAAAAGAUGCAUAAUCAUAAAAACCCAAAUAAAGAUUUUGUGCUUAUAUCUUUGCUUAGUUUGCUAAAUAAAUAAAUAAAGUGUUUAUGCCAAAUUGAACUCUAAUGAUAAACUCAUACAUGGAUAUGAUGAAUAGUUGCUCUGCCAAGUACCUAGUUUUCAAAUUUGAGCUCUCUCUCUCCCAAGUUUAUACAUAACUGUUAUAAUUUAAAGAUUGCUCUAAACCUAAACUCGUGGGAAGAGAACUUGAUCUAAAGUCUAAGUCAUUAAUUUAUAUGAUAUGGGAAGGUUGAGCUGCUGCUUAUCUGUUCCUAGAGAUGCUAGAACUCUGGAGAGUUUUAUCUUUGCAAAUCUUUAAAAUGUUGCAUGAUGAGUUCCUGUAUGAUGAGAGUUUAAAAUCCUACCAUAGCCAUAUAUACAUGCUUAUUAGACUAUGAACCAUACAUUUACUUUUUACUGCUUAUGAGCUUUGAGUGUGGUCAAGCUAUGUAGACCCUUAGGAGCUUGUCAUGCGGUUAAAAUCAAGAUUCACUUGCAAGUUCACUCAUACAUGCUACUUCUACUCCGAAAGUAUGCAUCCACAUACAUCCACUCAUUUCCAUCUCCACAUUCACCCGAAAUUAUUCUACUCCUAUCCAGGAUAGAAUAGCCAAAAACAUUAUCCUAUCCCUGUUAUUCCCUGUAAAAUAAAUGCUCGAGUUAUCUUGGUUACUACCACUUGCUAUGUUAUUCUAGGAGGAUGAGUGCUCUGAAAAAAAAUAUGAAUAUGAGGAAAUAAAAAGGGGCAAGUGCCUGAAACCUUGAAAAAAGAAAAAGUGAGACGAGAGGUAAAAAUGGAUAAGUGUCCGACAGUAGAAUUAGGGGUACAAGAUACCCACCUGAGAGAAAAGAAAAAUAAAAUAUAGAGCAUCUCAUUUCCCUCAAAAGACUCAAGUGCAAGGAAGGUAUGUACCACCUCAAAAGAACAAAAGUAGAAUUAGACUUUCACCAUUAUCACCAUUCAUUCGCCACACAUGCACAUCUUGAUUUGACUUAUUGACUUGUUUCUCUGGAUCCAUGGUUUGACUAUGCAAUAAAUGUCUUGUAAUUAUGUAUACUCUAUCUCCCACCUAUGAGCUUCAGAUAUCAAAACCUUAUUAGAGUAGGGUGAGAGAGAAGGCAAUGUCAGUAUGCCUCGUACCACAAAUACCACAUACUUUGAGAGAAGGCAUAUACCAUCACUGCCUUGGUAAGGAUCCAGAAAUACCACAAAAGAGAGAUUUGAGAGAGUCAUACAAGGAAUCUCUGAGUUUUAUUUUGAAAAUCUGCAGAAACUCUAGAGCUAUAGCUAAUCAAGAAUAAGAGACAUGGCACUUGACUAGACUGUUCUAUCUUUUAACUACUCAAGACACAAGUGACGGUUAUAAGCCCCAUGGUGAAAGGUAAAUGAGUAAGUUUUAUGUCUUAACAAUUUACUCUAACUCAGAGAUAAGACCUUGAUUGAAAGCAUGUGUACCGUCAACUUUCUAAGGCAUUGCAGCAAUUUCUGAUAAAUCACUAAGUCUAUCAUUUCUCAGGGAUGAGCAAGAGGUAAGCUUGGGGGAGUUUGCUAACGGUCCUUAAGUAUCAAAUUUAAUCAUCAAAUAAAUAAAGAAAAGGAUCCAAAUGCAUCCAACACCCAGACUUAGGGUUUUAUCUGACAGAAUUCCACAAGUUUUGGUGUUUGUCUAUUUUUACAGGGGGUUAUCAGUAAAUAUAGAGGAAAGGCCGACACGACAGGUUUACAGAGAUAUUAACGUGUGCGCCAAUUUUCUAUCAUCUAGAAUACUCCAGAAGCCACAGGAACGAACGAGAGGCCGAGCAGGCCUAGGGGCAGGGUGCCCGCCCUUCCCCCUAGGGCACUUGCCCUGUCAUCUGGACCAAUUGAAUACUAGGUUGUCAUCCCCAGCAUGGCACUAGAGUGUACUAUGGUAUUUAUACACACACAGAUAAUCCGCAAGCGCACGGAUACCAUUGAAGCUUUUUACUCAGUUAAAGGUUUUAUCGUAUCCACAGGGAAACGGGAGAACAAACUGCGCUCUAACUUAACUAAGAUAGAUAGAUAGGUAUAAAUAGGAAAGAUGGUAGAAUUGAAUAAGAACAAUAUUAAAGCUAAAAUAAUAAUGGGGGAAUAUAGAGUAGAGCAAUCUAAUAUAUGGAUAAUAAUAGGAGAAUAGAGAGGAUAACUAGGGUUUGUCUACUUCAAAGGGGUAUGUCUAUCUGUGGCGUACCAUAAGUAUAAAACAACAUAGAGGAUGCUUAUACCUAAGGUCGAGGACUCCUACCAGUCCUGCUAAUGGGAGGUGGACUACAGAGGACCAUCGUAGCUGUCACCUACGCGGCCUACCACGCGAUCUAGCUAACAGUGGAUAUCCACAUGUAAUCUAGGUCUAAGCACCACGCUUACACCUAUACUACAACUCUCACCUAUAGCGUCCUAUAGAUUAAAGUACUCAAAAGAGAGUUGUGAACUAGAACAUACAUGGAUAGUAAUUGCAUAAUGAAAUAGAAGUAGAUUACCAGAGUCAUCCCAUGAGUAAGCUUGAUUAGAGCUUGAUCAUGGCAAAGUACAACUGGAGGAAGAACCAACAGGCCGGCCUCUCCUUCAAUCCUCCCUCGCUCUCCAUCUCGCUACUAUCUAGAUCUACUCUAGUUUAGAGAUGAGAGGAGAGCUAUCAUCUCCAAACCCUAGCUUUUGCUCUGUCUAUGAAUAAUGAAUAGGGAUGGAGAGGUUUUUUCUCCAAGGGCCAGGGAGCCUGCUUAUAUAGCCCUUCCAAAUGAAUGUGGGCCGUCGGAUCAAACCGACCUUAAUCGCACGGUUUUCCUUCAUCCAUUAGGCCGGUGGAUCAAAAUCCAAGAGGCGGAGCCUGAUUGGUUCCUGUAGCAGGGUGGGCGCCCUGUCCCCGGGCCCGCUCAACCUCCCGUUCGUUCCCGUGGCUUCUGGAGUCUUCUAGAUGAUAGAAAAUUACCGCGCACAUUAAUAUCUAUAUGUAAACCCGACGUGUGGGCCUUUCCUCCAUAUUUCCUGAUAACCCCCUGCAGAAAUAGACAAACACGAAAAGUCGUGGAAUUUUGUCAGAUAAAACCCUAAGUCUGGGUGUUGGUUGCAUUUGGAUCCUUUUCUUUAUUUAUUUGAUAAUUAAAUUUUGUACUUAAGCAUCGUCAACAACUCCCCCAAGCUUACCUCUUGCUCGUUCCUGAGCAAGGAUGGACUCAAGAGUUUCUACAGUGGUUCCAUGCCUUAAAGGUACACAUGCGUUCAAAUAAGAUCUCAUCUCUGGGUUAGGGUAAACUGUUAAGAUUUAAACUUACUCAUAUUACGUUCCAUCAUGGGACUUUUAACCGUCACUCGUGUCUUGAGUAGUAAAAGGAUAGAACGGUCAAGUCAAGCGGCAUGUCUCUUGUUCUUGAUCAACUAUAGCCCUAGAGUUUUUGUAGAUUUUCAAAAUAAAACUCAGAGAUUCCUUGUAUGACUCUCUCAAUUCUCUCUUUUGUGGUAUUUCUAGAUUCUUAUCAAGGCAGUGAUGGUUGUUGACGGUCCUUAAGUACCAAAUAUAAUCAUCUAAUAAAUAAAGAAAAGGAUCCAAAUGCAACCGACACCCAGACUUAGGGUUUUAUCUGACAGAAUUCCACGAGUUUUGGUGUUUGUCUAUUUCCGCAGGGGGUUAUCAGGAAUUAUAGAAGAAAGGCCCACACGUCGGGUUUACAUAGAGAUAUUAACGUGCUGCGCAAUUUUCUAUCAUCUAGAGGACUCCAGACGCCACGGGAACGAACGGGAAGGCGAUCGAGCCCGGGGGCAGGGCGCCCGCCCUACCCCCUAGGGCGCCUGCCCUGGUGCAGAGUCCAAUUAGGACCCGUCUCGCGGAUUACGCUACACCGACCUAAAGAAUCAAGGAUAACCGUUCAAUCAAUGUCGGUUUGAUCCGACGGCCCAGAUUCACUUGAGGGGACUAUAUAAGCAGACCCCCUGGCCCCUGGAGGAGAACAAGUUCAUCAUAGAGUUGAGAGGUGCCUUCAAAGGAUAACAUUUCCUCUAAAUAGACUUAGGGCUUAGCAUCCAAUGUGAGAGUAGACUAGUUCUACUAGAUUGAGAGAGAUAGAGUGGAGGUAUAGAUCGAAGGAAGCCCGGCCUGUCGGUGUCUACUCUGAGGUUGUACCUACGGGAUCAAGUUCUCCUAACCCGAGGCUUGCUCCUAGGAUUCUUCAGUAAUUUGACUUCUAAAUUAUAGUAAGUUCUUGUUUUAUUGUUCUUUGGUUUAUGAGUUUACUUUACUCACUUCCGGUUGAGUUUAGAGUAAUCAUUGCUAGCGUAAACGUGGUGUUUGGGCUAUGGUACUCAUAGAUAUCCCCUGACUAUCUGGACCGUGGUAGUAGCGAGGAACGUGACAUUUCUGAGUUACCUUUGCAGCCCACAUCUCGUUAGCAAGAUGGGUAGGGUUUAUAGGUGUGGGUCGAACAUCCUCUAUGGUGUCUAGAUUCUGUGAGCCUCCCCAAUAGAAAAGUAGAUCAUCCUUACCAAGGUUAGAACGAGACUAUGGUUGUAGUCUUCUCUAUACAUCUCUCACAUUGAGUCACAUUCUUUGUAGCCUAAAGGGUAGUAGCAAUAGAUUUGGUUAGUCAGAUGCACACUUUCUCCCAGUGGUAAAAAUAUAAAUACGAUACUCUGGAUAACCUCCCGGGUGAAGUUCUCACCGAUAUCCGUGCGCUUGCGGAUCAUUUCCUGAUGUUGUUAACAAAUAUCAACAAGCAUUUCUGGCGCCGUUGCGAAGAAAGACAGUUUGCUGAGAUAACUUUGAGUCUUGCUAUUAUCUUAUAUUAUACUUUUAUUCUUUUAUCUUUUUAUUUUUUCCAUCUUUAUGGAUAACUUAAAUUCCACACCUAUUAUUGAAUUCUUUGCACCUUCGGAGACCAGCCAUAGACCAUCGGAGUCAACAAGUCCUUUCUUUGCACCUAAUUAUGAUUUGUGUCCGGAGUUGAUUGCAAUAGGUCAAAACCAACCCUUUUCUAUAGCCGAGGUCCUAUCUUUUAAUCAAAAAGAUAAUGAACUUUUAGCAACAUCUAGGGCAUGUGUUAAUCUUUCUAUAGAUUCUAGUUUAAAUCUAGCCCUACAAGACCAUGUUUUUCCUCGUUAUUUGCACAUUGGUCUUAAUCAUAUACCCUUUGGUAGAGUUUUUCUUUCUUUAUCUGUUAGUAAAGCAAGGUAUGUCUUCAUUCAUGGACAUCCUUCUUGUACUAGUCUUCAUAGAAAAAUCUUAGAGAUAGAGAAGGAAUCAUCUCCCAGACGAGGAAAGGAAGUUUCAAUAGCCAAUUUCCAAACAUUUCAAUCCCAUGAUUCGGCUAUCCAACCCAUCCUUGAGCUUAAUAAUUUCUACUAUGCUCUUUCUCUUGAACCUCCCGAUAAUCCUAUGAAUCUCUCUGGACAUCCGAUCCAUAAGAGUCACCAAUGUGACAGAACCGCCCAAUUUAUACAAGUUUAAGUACGACUGUCCCCGUUUAACACAUUGACAAGCCCAUACUCUCACUUAUAUAAACCCGGUAGUCUGCCGAGUGUCACGAAGGACCUCGGUAAAUCAACCUUACACCAAGAUCGCAAGAUUAAGCAAAUACACAUCACAUACACGGAGAUUUGCAGCGGAAAUAAUAUUACAAAAGAGUUCACAAAUAAUAGGACAAGUUUGGAUUUUCCCAAUUGAUUAGAAAACAACAUAGCUUUCAAAUGAUUACAAUAACAUAAGUUCCAAAUACAUUGCUAGCAUAAGUGACAUCCUCCGACAAAAGCUUGUAGAUGAGAACACUAUAUAGAAUCACCGAGCCCACCGGCGGUUAGCCACCAUCUUUAGCAGACUGAAGACUUCACCUGCAACAUGGUGGGAUAAACCCUGAGUACUCGAAUGUACUCAGCUAGACUUACCCGACAGGAGAGAAAAUAAAAGACUCUCAAGGAUAUGCCAGACUUUUUGGUGGAGUUGGUUGGAUAGCAUAACUUUGCCAAAAAGAGCAUUACUAUCAUGAGUCCUUACUUUCAACCUUUUAGUUAGUAUUUUAGCAUCAAGUUCAGUUAAGCUACCAUAGCUAGAUUUUGCACCUAUUCUAUAGCAAUCACUUGAUUAAUAAGCAUCACAUUAAUAACUAUAUCCGGUUUAUCAUAUAGCCAUCAUCGUCAUCAUAACCAUUAAGUUUCAUUUAGUUUAUCUACGUUGCCGCUGCUCGAGUCAAGUUCUCACUAUCCGGGAGAGACGGCGAUUCGAAUCGAUUCCUAUCCAGCUAGAGGGGUAUUCCUAGCACUCACCCAAGCAUACCUCGCAAGGGCAGCUCGGAUCACCUUUAGCACAACUCCGGACCAAGUCGCGGGUCCGUCCAGCGCCGCACCCCCAGGGACCGCCAAUCUGCCAGGGCAGGACUCUAACCUGACACCUUGGGCUUACGCCAUUGACUCCCCGCACAUCCGGGGUGCGCACUCAUACAAAAUAGGAUAUCCGGCCUGAGUUGCACUCGUAGGCUUCGCGGUUGGAACGACUUAUCCAGCCAACUAAGUGUUAGGCAUGCGUUCAACAUGACACGAGGACGUACAGCGAUUCGGUCCUUAACCGACACAGACGGGGAUAGAUUCACACCCAAGACCUCAAUGCCUUGUUGCUGCACUAUCGUUAUCCCGCCCGGUCUCAAAUUCAUUAUUAGCACAAGGUUAUUUCUACGAUAGCAAAUAUAGCCAACCGUGAUCAAGUAUCCACCUAUCUCUCGCAGGUGACAGGAAAUCACCAGGCUUCUACCGAGCUAAGCACAACUAAGCAUAGAACGUCUUCCUUAUACCAGUAAGGGUUCAGGUAGUUUCAUAUAGUGGACAAGGUAGGAAUAUAUGCACCAACGGUUUCAUUCAACUCCUAUCACCUAAUGCAUCAUAUAAAGUUAUACUCUUGUGCUUUUAUAAAAAGAGAGGUAGGAGACUUAGAAUGCUCCGGGGCUUGCCUGGAAUCCGACACAAGUAAGUAAGUUAGCUUGCACCGUCUUGACGACAUCUAAGGUGACAACACUUGUGCAGUCCUUCCACCAUCCCGAUAGGUCCACCAUCACGUCCUUCAUGUGGUUCAUCUAGCGUACCUAAAUGAGAUGCAAGAUGCAAGUGUAUGAACACAUAGAAGUGCAAUAGACAAAGCAUCACACACAAGAAGCAUGGCAAGAGCAUGGUUACACUAAACAUACUUAAGCACAUCUCACUGCUCACUUAAUGAUUACACAACCAACAUGCUAAGUCAACAAAGAAUGCAACACUAAACAUAUUAGACAUGGCAUACAUGUUUCACAAGGUCUCAGGUAUAUUAACUUGGCCAUUACCAAGGACAUGAGUCAUACAUAGCAAUAUACCAAGCAAGAACAAUAAAAGGAAUCUGUCAUUUUUAGGACUGUUAACAGCAGCUGAGAAAAUAAAUCAUAACUGGAGUUACACAACUCUAAAAUACAUGCAAGAAGACAUUCUGGAAAGCUUAAGAAAUUAUCUACAUUUGAUAUUUAGACAUCAAAGCAUGAUUGUCAACUUAAUCUGGUCGAAAUUACAAAUUUCCAGAAUCGGUCCCUGACAAACAGAGAGCAGCCGCUUUCUGGAUCCAACUUUGAACAGAUAUAACUCACAAACCACAAAACCAAAGACUACCAAAUUUUGACAGAAGCUAGAUAAAUGAAUUAUCUACAACUUUGCUAUAAACAAGAUUCCCAGAAAACAUCAUUUACAAAUUGUAAUCCAAACAGUUGCAGAAACUGUCCAGAAACAACAAUUGCAAACAAUUAAUUAUUAACUUAUGUUUCAAACAUGCAUUUGAGCAAAACCAUUGUUACCAACAGUUUGCAUAUAUCUAAAGAACACCAGAAAACAUAGUGGUCAUUACCAAAUAAAUUUAUUUAUUGCAUUUCUUAAUUUAUUUGGAUAACAAGGUGAAUCAAAGAACAUAUACCAAACAUGCACAGUAAUUUAUACAAAAAUUACAGUAGCCUCUGAAUACUAUGAAUAGACUGCUGUAUAAAUUUCACAAUAUUUGAAUAAGCACAGCAAAAUCUAUGAAAAAGACAAAUUGCUAUUGCAAUUAACUAUGUGAGAGCAAGAUAAAUGCACAAAUCAUAUUUUCUUCAAACACAUGGCCAUGUCAUACAUAAACAUGAUACAACAAUAUCAUAGGAUUGUAUUGGAGCAACAUUUUCCAUUUUCACAUUUUUAUUUAUAAUUAUAAACCAUUUAUCAAGCCCUAUGCAAGUUAAAUCAAUAGCUCAACCAUACUGCAACCAAAAAUCAUGAAACCUUUACCAUUCAUCAAGCAUCACAAGAAUAGCAUGCCACAAAAGUUUCACUUCAAUUGGACCUAUACAGAAACAGUUAUAAAAAAGACAAACUCAACUAGUAUUAAAAACCUAGCUGCAUAAAUCAUUUUCUACAGCUAAAUCUUUAAACUAAAACAUAGCAUAUUAUAGAUCUACUGCAUAGAGAAUUUCACAACGAUUCCAAAAAGUACAUAUUUGCUAAUUCACGAUUUUUCUAUGAUUUUAUAUGGAUUUUCAAAGUUCCAGGAUUUCUCCAAAACAAAUAGGUCCUCGGAGUACUAUUCAUCUGAGUCCAUGACAGUGCAGAAAACAUCCUGGAUUUAGUCAAAUUUACAACCGAGGUCCUUGGUCGCGAGGAAAAUAUAGGAACUCGUCGGAGCUCCCUGUUCCGGCCGGCUGAGGCCUCAUCGGCGGCGAUGGAGGGGUGGGGAAGCACCAGGGGUGUCUUGCGAACUCGCUGAGCCACCUUCCUCGACCCAAGACGGUCCAUGGCGGUCUGCCCACGGAAGCAGGUGGCGGCCACCGCGGUGGUGCCCGCACGGCGGCGCUUCGGCAGCGGAUUUGGGCAGCGAAUACGAGCACCGUGUGCAUGAGAUGGAGGCGAAGCCGAUGGCGGUGCUUGCGGGAAGCGAGAAGGCGCGGAGCCGCGAGAAUACGGGCGGCGUCGAGCUCGGCCCGCCGGCCAUGGCGGAUAUGGCUGCGUUCUUGCGGUGUCGGGCGAGGGCAAGGCGAGGGAGUGGCAGAGGGAGUGUGGAGAGGGUGCUCAGGGCUCUCCACAUCAGUAGCGAGCGCGGACACGCGGAGGGCACGCGGCAAGAUGAGGAGGCGCAAGCUCUGCAUGGCUGUCCAUGCGUUCUCCCUUUGACGCAUUUUGCCGAACAGCUAGCGGGCGACGGUGUGGCCAGUGUGGGACGUGUUUUUGGGCUCCUUCCGCGCAGAUAUGGACAUUGGGCCGAAAACAAGAAUUGCUCUACUCGGCCCACUCUACAAUUUUGGUUUAAGGGUCAUGGUCAUUAGUCUUGUAGAUUAGCAGAUAAUUUGAUGCCAACCUUUGAGUGUCAUGAAUUAAUAAUGAUUAACAAAACUCAAAAUUGGUGACCAAAACAAAGUUAAACUGGUGUCAUCUUUCGGUAUGCUCUAGCCCACAAUAUGUACUCCAACUUUUAUUUUGGGACCCAAGGAAGUUGUUUAGUAAAAUUUGGAGAACGCGGAAUGCCAACGUGAUGAACUGCAAACCUAGACUUAGAAACUCUAAGUGCUGGAAAUUAUAGCAGAUUCAAUUUUGUGACUAUUAUUUGACAUGCUUAGAAGAUGAUUCAGACUUAGUAACUUUAAUAAAGAUUGUAGUAUGCAAACUAUACUACAACGUUUACAAAAGGACCUUUUACUGGUUCAGUAUUAUUUGGAAGAUACAAGGCUCCCAACUAGGGUACCCGAAACUGAGCACCUCAGGACUUGGCCAAAAUUCUGGAGUUCCAAAACAGCACUGCAUCGAAUCUUGUCAAGUCAAUUUGACUAGGUUACGGACCAAACUAGCUCUUGACCGUUAAACAAAGUUUGUUCUACAGAAUCUAAAGUACAACUUUCAUUUAAGGUCAAACCUCAGAACUAGUAUAGAAGUCAAAAUUUCACUUUGGUCAAUGCAGCAACUUGAUAAAGCUCAAACUAAGGUUUUAGGCUAAUUGAAGCACUUUCUGGGCACAAGCUCAUCAUGAACCCUUCAUGACUUUUGUUGUAGAGUUCAUCUAGAGUCAUUUGGGCAAGGUUGCAAGGAUUGGUUGAUGACCUAUGGUUCUAUUCGCUUAAUGAGGUCAUUCCAACAAGCAUGUAACUUAUCAUUUCAUGUGACCUUUUGAUUCCAACUUCAUGAAACUUUUUGAGUGAUCACUAUAGGUCGUGAUGGAUGUGGGACACAUGAAAGAGAUUCCAUAAACAUCACCUAAGCAUGAACUUUGAAAAGGUACUAUAUGUAAGCAAGGGUGCAUUCUCUAAGUUUAACUUCAGGCUCACUUUCAUGGAUUAACUUUAACAUGAUCAUCACCACUUAUCAUGACAUGUUUGAGCUCAAAACCUAAAGUCUAACUCGUGGCAAACACCUGGGGUGUUACAACCCUCCCCCCUUAAGAGAAUCUCGUCCCGAGAUUCAGGACAAAAUACUUCUAAGGGUAGAGAAGUAUGUUAUUCACUUCUAACAUUGGGGAUAACUGUCAACUACUUAUCCCCGAGCAUCAGAGAGGCUAAUUUGGUCAGGAUACUUUCUGAUACUGGUUCUUCAUAGUGAACUUUUGUUUAAAGAUUUUUCUUCAUUGACUUCCACGAUGUAUGGUUACUUCGGGAGGAAUUCAAGACAACAUAGUUAUUCAUUCCUAAUGUAUGAUGGAUAAUUCAGAGCACAGUAAACUACUCAUUACAAUGUUUCCAUCUAUGUUCACAAGGCUCGAAAAGCAGUCCUCUACCAAAAUGGCUUGAGUACAACCUUCCGUAGGGGAUGAGAUCAUGAACUAGAUAAAACAUCCUUUGAGGUUAUGAGAAACCAACUAACCAACAAACAAUGUCUAUUUUGGUCAUAAGGUCUAAUCACUCAGAUGCCCAUCAAUGGAAAGCUACAUAAGGUUCCACGUGUGCAGUUCUCUUUCACUGAUAUCAACACUUUAUUUUCCAAGUCUAUCGAGUUAGUGUUGACCAUUCAAUGAAUUUAAUGGCUCCAAGUGUUAACAGUGGUCUAGGUCAUAUCACAUACAACCUCUUAGGUAAAAAGGAACAUAGAAAACACCAAACGCAUGUUACCAUUAGAUAAGCAUUGCUAAGGAUGGAUGAUAGCAAGGUAUAGAGGACAACAAAAUAUUCAAGUAUUCACCAAGCUAGGGAAACAAGCUACUACCAAGCAAGUCAACUAUGAAUUUUCCCAUCACUAAGUAGUUGCUUAGUAAGUUGGGUCGGUUUGCACAGCAGCAAAAUAGCUUGGUGAAACUACUUUCGACAUUGAGGAUUCCUUUCUAGGAUCAAACAACAGCUCUAAGAUAAUAAUUCUAAGAUUUGUUGCUUAAUACCCUUCCAAUUAUUUUGACUUGUAGAACUCCUAGAUUGCUCAUCUAUCGGUUGAUGUGAUAGGGGAACAGCUAGGUGUCCAAGGGUGAAAGGAGUCUUUAUAGGUCAUCCUAAGGUUUAUCUUGGUUCAAUUCACACCGCGCAAACUAGCUUCAUUAUGCAUGAAUUGCUAGUGUGUAUAGAGAUCCAAGAGUCUUAUGAUCAUUAACCAAAAUUCAACUCAAGCAAACACCAUAUGGCAACCAAACAAAACAAAACCUUUGAUAGCACCACACAUAUUAUGAUGCUAACGGAGACUAGGGGUGUGCUUUUCUCUAGCGUGUGACUUAGAUAUAGCAUUUGGUACCAUCUAUGUGAUUGUCCGAGAUUGAAUUGACUCGACAAAGGGCCUAGAGAAGGAAAUAGUAUUUACAUCGUUGAUCCACUUAUUGUUUUCUUUGCAUGACACUAUUUUAUGAGACGUAGCCUUCAGGGAUAUCAUGGAGUCAUUUCCAAGGUAGUGAUUAAACUUCUAACUAAUAACUAAUCAGUUGUCUCUAGACACUAAAAAGUUCCAAAACUUUCUUCUUUGGUGGCAACAAUUGUAGUCGACGCAUUUUUAGGCAGUCAAGAUCAAAGUCAGCCAAAAAGAGAUCACAAUAGAGAUGGCUGAUUAUGACUGUGUGAUCACCAUGAUCAAGAUUUGGAUCAAUUCUUGUCUGACUGAUAACUUGUCCAACUUUAAGUGUUGUGUGCCCUUUGGAUUCAACAGUGGACGACAGAAGUUACUCACCAAACAACUGAUACCGUUACAUGGGUAACAAAUAGAGUCUCUUAUCUACCACCCCUUGCAGUCUGCUAAGGUUUAUGUCGGUAACCUAUUCUUCAAAGGUUAUCUUCUUAGCAACUUCAGAAGGUAGUUCUACUACAUAAAUAUGAUAUAGACCUUCUGAUUGGACAUAAGGAAUGAUAACCAAGGAAAAAACUCACAAUGAGAUGACACAUCAGUGUAGUUUCAUAAUAGAUCAUGGCUAGCAACCACGAUACCAGCGCGUGCCGAGCAGCACAGUCUUGUGUGUGCACCCACAAGAGGCUCUCUGUUUCGUCAUGGCACCAUUAGUCUUCAAUCACGACGCUAUUACCGAUCUUACAACCAACAUGAAAUCUCACAUGACAUAGGUAGGUCUUGCAUGUACAAGGAUCAUGUGCAAGACAAAAUUAAGCAAGCAAAGAUGACAACAAGAUUUGGAGGUAACAACUAGAAGGUCAAAGGAUAAGAACAAGACGCAAGACAUAAAUGGAUACGCCUUAUGCCCAUUAAGGUCAUUACCCAUUGAUUAAUUUAUGAGAUGCGGUCAUGUUGGGUAGGAACAUGAGAUCAAAGCUGAUAAGCAUCUCAAGACCUAGGGAGGUUGGAGGUGAAUUAAGAAAACUCCAAAGGUAAAAUCAUUACAUCGAUGAGAGAUUGAGUUGAUAAGGAGCUACAUGAUUUGUAACCAAAGAAUUAGAGAUCGGCAAUAAGAGAUUGCAUUACACAAGCUAAGCUUUGGGAGAUACAACCGGGAGGUCCAACAUGGAUUUGGUAUGGUCUCCGUAGCCAGCAAGAAUAACCGUAGUCGAAAGCUUUCUGUAGUGAGAACUUAUCCUAGGCUAGUUGGCUAGACAAGGAUAUUUGCAAACGCGUGCAAGACAACCAUGGUAUAUGCAAGCAUUUGAGGGUCUGGACAUUGGUUUACGUAUCAAGCACAGGCACGGAUGCUCCAACAUUCAAAAACUAACAGUCAAGUCUAUAAGCUCGGCUCCUAAGAAAGGAAGCUAAUCUGAUACAACCAGCACACAAUCAACCUAAUUUGAGUGCCAUUCUAAGAUAAAGCUAUUUAACACUCGUGCUUGUCGAGGACAAAACAAGAAACAACCAAGGCACGAUCUAGAUAACCAACAUCCACACAACAUAAUAGUUUUAAGCAAGUACUUGAGAAAACUCAAACAAUCACGCUUAAACAACCAUUACUAAGCACAAGGCUUACACAUAACAAGCAUCUAUCUACAGCAAUACAACACAUUUAUCCCACAUACAAGGAUUAUGAUACAAGACGUGCUACAAAGCAAGUGGACACGAUUCAGUCUUUUAGGGAGAAUAUGACUUGGAGAUAGGUAGUGAAAGGGCUCCAAAAGAUUUUGGCAUGGCUGCACUAUCAUGCAAAUGGACAUACCACAAGCAAGAGUUUAGCAUUUAGGAAAACUCAGCGGGAAAAGAUUAUUAAACCUAUAGAGCUAAUUCAAAACUUAACAUGGUUGAAAAGAAUAGCAAUCAGCUCUGCCUAAACUAGGAUAGAGAACAUGAUAUGAGUUUUAGAAAAUGAUAACUAAAGUUCCAUUGAUCGAACAAACAUGAUCUUUAAUCUUAUGGAAACUUAUCAAGUUAUCUAUAAUUUUAUCAUUAUCAUCUUAAGGUGCUUCUACAGCUAACAAGCACAAACAAUACAAAGAAGGCAUAUCUAUUCAGAUUUUUGACAGAUUCUGUCGUUCUACUUCAUAGGCUCAUAACAGAAGAUUUAAACCACCAAAAGUAGUGAUCUAAGACAUUUUGGAAACCUUAACAAAAGUACUACACUUCUUCUAUUAACUUCAAGACAUGAUUCUGUAGGCACACUAGUCAAACAAACUGAACAUUCAAUUCUGUUCAGAACACGAUCAGGAUCUGACAACAAACUUCGAAAGUUCAUAACUCCUAAACCAUCAGGCCUAUGGUCAUGAAAUUUUAGGAUAAACUAGAUAUGGAGGUUGGCUACAACUUUGGUUUUUACUGUAAUUACAGAAAACACCAUUAUUGUCAUGAAAACACCACUAGAAUACACACUGCUCUAGCAGCCAAAAUUCAACACACAUAUCAAGCAAUGUUUCCCUUGUUCUAUUAACAAGAGAGCACACACAUGUAUAACUCCAGUAGCUACAAACAUUUUUACAUAGACAACAACAAUUUAUCUUGGUGACAAGGAGGGAUUGACAUAAGAAUCACAAUUGCUUAAGUGAGGUUAAAGCAUUUGCAAACUCUUGCAUGAACGGCAUAUUCACCACUUGGCUAAACAAGCUGACACCUACAAAUUCAAGCAUAUAGCCUUAACUAUUUCUAUUAUGGGUAGGCCAUACUUUUAGUUAGUUAAUUAACAUUAGAGGAUUCAUUGGAACACAUUCACAUACAUGUUCACCGACAAGCUUUAGUUUUCAAAGGAUUGUAGUUUCUACUACUACUAAUUUAGCAUUCCUAUAGAAGAAAACAUUUCAAGGCUAGACACAUCGCACACUACUUUCAAGCAAAACUAUUCAAGUAGCAUGGACUAAGGCAAUUUUUGUAUGGCUUCACACACGGAAAAGAGUAACAUCACAUCACUCACAAGUUACUAAUUAUUGGAACAAAGGUGGGAGAAGCAUAGUCAUGCAUAAUGCAACAAUCAUGACGAUGCAUGCUUCGUCUUAUUCGUCCUCACAAAAUUGCCAGCCUAUGGUGGCAAUCACGUUCUAUGUCGGUGGCAUAACACAUACUCUCUCGACAUAUAGCUAGUCGUCAACUACGUUCAAUCUAUGUAUUCGUGGUUAGUGUACCUGCAGAAGAAUUUCAUUUCAGCCCAACCCAACAAUAAUAUAUGUGCAGAAAUGAAAGUCUGGUCUCUAAAUUGAAAGCUAAGUACUCCAAUAUAUAUUCCCGAAUAUAUAUUGCAGCAUACUACCCAUGUGAAGCACGCCCAUGUAUACACAGAGACAUGUAUACACUGUCAUACCAACUAACCCACAAUUAAGUACCUUCAUAUAGACAUGUGUGUAACAUAUAAAUAUUCUAGUAACCACAUCUAACUCUCCCCUAGACCGACGGUUGGACGGUCAUGCUCUCACAACUCACAUUCUUACCUUGUGCGUCGAGGCAUAUAGAUCCAUACAUUACCACUCAAGCAAGUGGCAUCCAUACAAUUUCACGCCUUAUGGACGACGAAAGGAAAAUAUUGCUUACCGUGGCGUAGAGGUAUAUGAUUAAUUCAUUACCACUUAAGUAAGUGGUAUCCAUACUAUUGCACGCCGUAUGGAUGACGAAAGUAAAAGUUGCAAUAAAGUAAACCCCCCAUAGUUAGUAUCAGUUUACAUAAAGCCACCUAGUACUCCUUAAUUGGCAUAACUGGAGGUUGUCGGUAGCAUAGUUUUUGUAAAUUAGUUUUGACAAGUUCUGCCUGUAGCUAAAGUUUUAGUCAAAAUAAAUUUUUAAAAUCAAAACUUUGUUUUUAAAACAGUGUACCUGAUAGUAUUAUACUUAAUCUUGCUUUGAUACCAGCUGUGACAGAACCGCCCAAUUUAUACAAGUUUAAGUACGACUGUCCCCGUUUAACACGUUGACAAGCCCAUACUCUCACUUAUAUAAACCCGGUAGUCUGCCGAGUGUCACGAAAGACCUCGGUAAAUCAACCUUACACCAAGAUCGCAAGAUUAAGCAAAUACACAUCACAUACACGGAGAUUUGCAGCGGAAAUAAUAUUACAAAAGAGUUCACAAAUAAUAGGACAAGUAAUUAUUUUCCCAAUUGAUUAGAAAACAACAUAGCUUUCAAAUGAUUACAAUAACAUAAGUUCCAAAUACAUUGCUAGCAUAAGUGACAUCCUCCGACAAAAGCGUGUAGAUGAGAACACUAUAUAGAAUCACCGAGCCCACCGGCGAUUAGCCACCAUCUUUAGCAGACUGAAGACUUCACCUGCAACAUGGUGGGAUAAACCCUGAGUACUCGAAUGUACUCAGCUAGACUUACCCGACAGGAGAGAAAAUAAAAGACUCUCAAGGAUAUGCCAGACUUUUUGGUGGAGUUGGUUGGAUAGCAUAACUUUGCCAAAAAGAGCAUUACUAUCACGAGUCCUUACUUUCAACCUUUUAGUCAAUAUUUUAGCAUCAAGUUCAGUUAAGCUACCAUAGCUAGAUUUUGCACCUAUUCUAUAGCAAUCACUUGAUUAAUAAGCAUCACAUUAAUAACCAUAUCCGGUUUAUCAUAUAGCCAUCAUCGUCAUCAUAACCAUUAAGUUUCAUUUAGUUUAUCUACGUUGCCACUGCUCGAGUCAAGUUCUCACUAUCCGGGAGAGACGGCGAUUCGAAUCGAUUCCUAUCCAGCUGGAGGGGUAUUCCUAGCACUCACCCAAGCAUACCUCACGAGGGCAGCUCGGAUCACCUUUAGCACAACUCCGGACCAAGUCGCAGGUCCGUCCAGCGCCGCACCCCCAGGGACCGCCAAUCUGCCAGGGCAGGACUCUAACCUGACACCUUGGGCUUACGCCAUUGACUCCCCACACAUCCUUGCUACCAACCGGGGUGCGCACUCAGAACGGGGUAUCCGGCCUGAGUUGCACUCGUAGGCUUCGUGGUUGGAACGACUUAUCCGGCCAACUAAGUGUUAGGCAUGCGUUCAACAUGACACGAGGACGUACAGCGAUUCGGUCCUUAACCGACACAGACGGGGAUAGAUUCACACCCAAGACCUCCAUGCCUUGUUGCUGCACUAUCGUUAUCCCGCCCGGUCUAAAAUUCAUUAUUAGCACAAGGUUAUUUCCACGUAGCAAAUAUAGCCAACCGUGAUCAAGUAUCCACCUAUCUCUCACAGGUGACAGGAAAUCACCAGGCUUCUACCGAGCUAAGCACAACUAAGCAUAGAACGUCUUCCUUAUACUAGUAAGGGUUCAGGUAGUUUCAUAUAGUGGACAAGGUAGGAAUAUAUGCACCAACGGUUUCAUUCAACUCCUAUCACCUAAUGCAUCAUAUAAAGUUAUACUCUUGUGCUUUUAUAAAAAGAGAGGUAGGAGACUUAGAAUGCUCCGGGGCUUGCCUGGAAUUCGACACAAGUCAGUAAGUUAGCUUGCACCGUCUUGACGACAUGUAAGGUGACAACACUUGUGCAGUCCUUCCACCAUCCCGAUAGGUCCACCAUCACGUCCUUCAUGUGGUUCAUCUAGCGUACCUAAAUGAGAUGCAAGAUGCAAGUGUAUGAACACAUAGAAGUGAAAUAGACAAAGCAUCAUACACAAGAAGCAUGGCAAGAGCAUGGUUACACUAAACAUACUUAAGCACAUCUCACUGCUCACUUAAUGAUUACACAACCAACAUGCUAAGUCAACAAAGAAUGCAACACUAAACAUAUUAGACAUGGCAUACAUGUUUCACAAGGUCUCACGUAUAUUAACUUGGCCAUUACCAAGGACAUGAGUCAUACAUAGCAAUAUACCAAGCAAGAACAAUAAAAGGAAUCUGUCAUUUUUAGGACUGUUAACACCAGCUGAGAAAAUAAAUCAUAACUGGAGUUACACAACUCCAAAAGACAUGCAAGAAGACAUUCUGGAAAUCUUAAGAAAUUAUCUACAUUUUAUAUUUAGACAUCAAAGCAUGAUUCUCAACUUAAGCUGGUCGAAAUUACAAAUUUCCAGAAUCGGUCCCUGACAAACAGAGAGCAGCCCCUUUCUGGAUCCAACUUUGAACAGAUAUAACUCACAAACCACAUAACCAAAGACUACCAAAUUUUGACAGCAGCUAGAUAAAUGAAUUAUCUACAACUUUCCUAUAAACAAGAUUCCCAGAAAACAUCAUUUACACAUUGUAAUCCAAACAGUUCCAGAAACUGUCCAGAAACAACAAUUGCAAACAAUUAAUUAUUAACUUAUGUUUCAAACAUGCAUUUGAGCAAAACCAUUGUUACCAACAGUUUGCAUAUAUCUAAAGAACACCAGAAAACAUAGUGGUCAUUACCAAAUAAAUUUAUUUAUUGCAUUUCUUAAUUUAUUUGGAUAACAAGGUGAAUCAAAGAACAUAUACCAAACAUGCACAGUAAUUUAUACAAAAAUUACAGUAGCCUCUGAAUACCAUGACUAGACUGCUGUAUAAAUUUCACAAUAUUUGAAUAAGCACAGCAACAUCUAUGAAAAAGACAAAUUGCUAUUGCAAUUAACUAUGUGAGAGCAAGAUAAAUGCACAAAUCAUAUUUUCUUCAAACACAUGGCCAUAUCAUACAUAAACAUGAUACAACAAUAUCAUAGGAUUGUAUUGGAGCAACAUUUUCCAUUUUCACAUUUUUAUUUAUAAUUAUAAACCAUUUAUGAAGCCCUAUGCAAGUUAAAUCAAUAGCUCAACCAUACUGCAACCAAAAAUCAUGACACUUUUACCAUUGAUCAAGCAUCACAAGAAUAGCAUGCCACAAAAGUUUCACUUCAAUUGGACCUAUACAGAAACAGUUAUAAAAAAGACAAACUCAACUAGUAUUAAAAACCUAGCUGCAUAAAUCAUUUUCUACAGCUAAAACUUUAAACUAAAACAUAGAAUAUUAUAGAUCUACUGCAUAGAUAAUUUCACAAGGAUUCCAAAAAGUCCACAUUUGCUAAUUUACGAUAUUUCUAUGAUUUUAUAUGGAUUUUCAAAGUUCCAGCAUUUCUCCAAAACAAAUAGGUCCUCGGAGUACUAUUCAUCUGAGUCGAUGACAGUGCAGAAAACACCCUGGAUUUAGUCGAAUUUACAACCGAGGUCCUUGGUCGCGAGGAAAAUAGAGGAACUCGUCGGAGCUCCCUGUUCCGGCCGGCUGAGGCCUCGUCGGCGGCGAUGGAGGGGUGGGGAAGCACCAGGGGUGUCUUGCGAACUCGCUGAGCCACCUUUCUCGACCCAAGACGGUCCAUGGCGGCCUGGCCACGGAAGCAGGUGGCGGCCACCGCGGUGGUGCCCGCACGGCGGCGCUUCGGCAGCGGAUUUGGGCAGCGAAUACGAGCACCGUGUGCAUGAGAUGGAGGCGAAGCCGAUGGCGGUGCUUGCGGGAAGCGAGAAGGCGCGGAGCCGCGAGAAUGCGGGCGACGUCGAGCUCGGCCCGCCGGCCAUGGCGGAUAUGGCUGCGUUCUCGCGGUGUCGAGCGAGGGCAAGGCGAGGGAGUGGCAGAGGGAGUGUGGAGAGGGUGCUCGGGGCUCUCCACAGCAGUAGCGAGCGCGGACACGCGGAGGGCACGCGGCAAGACGAGGAGGCGCAAGCUCUGCAUGGCUGUCCACACGUCCUCCCAUUGAUGCAUUUUGCCGAACAGCUAGCGGGCGACGGUGUGGCCAGUGUGGGACGUGUUUUUGGGCUCCUUCCGGGCAGAUAUGGACAUUGGACCAAAAACAAUAAUUGCUCUACUCGGCCCACUCUACAAUUUUCGUUUAAGGGUCACGGUCAUUAGUCUUGUAGAUUAGCAGAUAAUUUGAUGCCAACCUUUGAGUGUCAAUGAAUUAAUAAUGAUUAACAAAACUCAAAAUUGGUGACCAAAACGAAGUUAAACUGGUGUCAUCUUUCGGUAUGCUCUAGCGCACAAUAUGUACUCCAACUUUUAUUUUGGGACCCAAGCAAGUUGUUUAGUAAAAUUUGGAGAACGCGGAAUGCCAACGUGAUGAACUGCAAACCUAGACUUAGAAACUCUAAGUGCUGGAAAUUAUAGCAGAUUCAAUAUUGUGACUAUUAUUUGACAUUCUUAGAAGAUGAUUCAGACUUAGUAACUUUAACAAAGAUUGUAGUAUGCAAACUAUACUACAACUUUUACAAAAGGACCUUUUACGGGUUCAGUAUUAUUUCGAAGAUACAAGGCUCCCAACUAGGGUACCCGAAACUGAGCACCUCAGGACUUAGCCAAAAUUCUGGAGUUCCAAAACAGCACUGCAUCGAAUCUUGUCAAGUCAAUUUGACUAGGUUAGGUACCAAACUAGCUCUUGACCAUUAAACAAAGUUUGUUCUACAGAAUCUAUAGUACAACUUUCAUUUAAGGUUAAACCUCAGAACUAGUAUAGAAGUCAAAAUUUCACUUUGGUCAAUGCAGCAACUUGAUAGAGCUCAAACUAAGGUUUUAAGCUAAUUGAAGCACUUUCUGGGCACAAGCUCAACAUGAACCCUUCAUGAAUUUUGUUGUAGAGUUCAUCUAGAGUCAUUGGGGCAAGGUUGCAAGGAUUGGUUGAUGACCUAUGGUUCUAUUCGCUUAAUGAGGUCAUUCCAAUAAGCAUGUAACUUAUCAUUUCAUGUGACCUUUUGAUUCCAACUUCAUGAAACUUUUUGAGUGAUCAUUAUAGGUCGUGAUGGAUGUGGGACACAUGAAAGAGAUUCCAUAAACAUCACCUAAGCAUGAACUUUGAAAAGGUACUAUAUGUAAGCAAGGGUGCAUUCUCUUAGUUUAACUUCAGGCUCACUUUCAUGGAUUAACUUUAACAUGAUCAUCACCACUUAUCAUGACAUGUUUGAGCUCAAAACCUAAAGUCUAACUCGUGGCAAACACCUGGGGUGUUACAACCAAGACCACAAGGAGGAUCGAGAAGAGCAACAUCAAUGGCUAGAGGGCAUUAAAAAUCCAUGUGCUAUCACCAUUGAAUGGAUGGAUAAACCAAACUUGAGAGACAAUCCUAUAGGAAUUUUAAGCAUUCAUGAAGAAUCAUCCGUGUAGUUUGAGAAUGAGAGAAACAACAGUGAGCAUCGAAGUUAUUUCAUAAAUACCUCACCAAGUCCUUGCUCAUAUAAAACAUCUCCCCAAUCAAUUGGUCUCUCCAACCUUACCACAUUUGAGAUCUCCAACCCACUCUUCCUUUCUAUUUAUAAAAACUUUAAAGGGGUGGUUAUCGAUGUAUAUGUCUAUAAUAAAUAUUGCAGAUAUCGUUGAGUCGAUCUUGAUAUAGGCACGCUUAGGUUGGUGUUGGAGGGGAAACCACUUCACCAACAUAAAUUGAUGGUUUCCCAAGGACAAGCUUAGUGUCCUAAAACAAGCACUUAUCAGAUCGUAACAUGAACUGCAAAUUAUUUGCAACAUUGCCUUGUGUAUUGAGCAUAUAAAGAUAAUUGUAGAAAUAUUCCUUUGGGUAUUCUUGUCACUAACCUUUCUAGGAUUGGAGCAAGAAGAUCGGAUGAAUGACAAGCACAAGGUAUGUCCAACCAAUCACCAUGCAACAUUGAAUUAAAUUCAUCCAAUCUUGAAUUUUGCAAAAUUCAAGCUUGGGGGAGUACUUCACAUGAAAACAUCCUUUGCCAUGUUGCUAUGUUGGUUGUCCCUACCGUUGAGACAUGCUUGAUUUGUUAAAUACUAAUCACACUACUUCAUCUCAACUUGAGUAGAUCUCUAUAAAUGCCAUCAUGAUACCUAUGUUUAUCCUAGUAAGUGUUGGUUUGGAAGUACUAGACAUACUUCCAUUGGCAUUUAAAUUAAGCGUGGUGCUUAGGUUAAAAUGCUCUCCUAAAAUAAAAUUAGACAUGGUGUCUAGGUUGAUUUUUGAGCCAAUAGUAUGCUAUAGUAGAUAUUGGAUAUUUUGUUGGACUAACCCCUGCAGGAAAACUUCCAAUAUCAACAUGGGAAGUCCUGAGAUACAAACUCACAUUGGAGACAAAGGAGACACAUGAAUUUAACAAUUUGCACAAGGAAGACAUAGCUCAUUCAUCAUAGAGAGAUGAUCCAUGGAAUGAGACAAAGUACAUAAACACGAUACACAGCCACUACGAAUGGGAAACUUCCACAAGGUGAGAUGGUACCAUCACUCUUCAAGUAAGGUAAUAUCUUAAGGUACUUGACUAUCGCUUUUAUAAGCUUCUCCUUGGUUCUGGCGUUCACAUAAGAUAAAGAGACAAACAUAUAUGAUUUGUAACUCCAAAUUAACCAACCCAAUUAAUUCAACAUGUUUAGUCCUUUACUCUUUGUUCUUAGUACUAUCUUCGUGAUCCCACUCCUAAUCACAUAAGCUAAAAUGUUGCACAUUCAAUCUCUGGAAGAUAUAAACAGAACAUAAAUAUAGAUAGAUUAUAUUUCCAUAAGGUUGAGCAAUCUGAUCUGACAAAUGUUUUAAAUUCUACACUCAUGAACUUAUCACCCAUCAACAUUGUCUUGCUCACUAUGUUUAAGGUUAGAGAAGAACAAAUACACUUUUGGUUCUAUUGGUUUUUUUCACCAACAGGGCCCAUGCACUUGAUCUCUGCCUUGUCUCUAUGAGCAGGUACACUUCGAGCAAAACCUGAAGGAGUUUUACAACUCCCAGACUACACCAAGUGAAGGGCUUGGAUCUACGAGCACAAACAUACUCGAGAUACUAGACACUCAGGCAAUCACUGCCCUGAGAUGCUUGAGGACGUAAACUACAACAACUACUACUACUACAACCGUCCUCAACAAAAUCAAAAGAGGCGAUCCAGGACGCCCGUCAUCCCGAUCUCCAUCGGCAUGGUAGACUUCCCAGAAGCACUCUGCAACUUUGGCUCCAGCGUCAACAUUAUGCCCAGGCUUGUAGAUCGGACACUAUGUUUCCCAAAGGUAAUAUUGAAGAACCUCUGUGUCUGAGGAGGCCAUUCCUGAACACCUCGUGAGCUGUCAUCUACGCUAGUGCUGCCAAGAUCAGUUUCUACAUCAAGGGGAGGAAGGACGUUUUCCUUCAAGAACAAGACUACACAAAUCUCAAAACAAUCCCAACAUGAACCAAGGAGGAGGACCAACAGGAGGAACAGGAACAAGCAAAUGUGGACCGAGUCAGCUAGAAUGGUCACUGCAGUUCAAGGAGGUCAAUAUCGUCGACUUAAGUCACCGUUCCUGACCAAAAAGGACAACCCAGCUCAGAUGGCAGAUCAGACAUUCCGAAAGGUUAUUGAUAUGGGAGAAGACGAGUACGAUCCACCCAUCAUCCUGAGGAGACCGUUGCUCAGCACCGUUAAAGCAAUCAUCUACAUUGGAACCGGAGAAGUCCACAUGUACUUCCCCUCUGAGAAGGUACGCCGCUAUUUUACUUACCUUAACUAUAUAGUUGAAGACUCUAAGCAGGUCAGGACAAAGAGGAGGCAAAUCAUCAAGGACGGAUGGGCAGAUUACGAAGGAGAACUGGUAAGGUCUGAAGACAUACAGCUUGAACGGAACUAUCCUGAGGAGACCGUAGCCCCGAGUCACGUGUGGAGAGAGAAGAUAGAUAUACUGGAAGAAGAGGUGCCGCCGAAACCACCGUCUACGUCAUCCAACGAAUCCCAGGAUGACUGAGAAAACAGAGAGUCCCGUUCGGAGGACUUAAAAACACCGAACGCCUUUCCAAGAGGUAAACUUGGUAGUUAUCCUUUUCCUUUCAAUAGUUUGCUUAGUUAAUCAGGUCCAUAUCAUUUCAAAAAGAAAACAAAAAUGUUAAAAAUAGUAAGCCCCAUGUGAGUAGACUUGUGGUUUAAAAAUCCAUAGGUAUAUUGACUGUGGUGGCAUAAAAUAAAUAUGUUUUCAUCUUACAAUAAACAUAUAAAUAAUAAGUGCAUGAUCCUGCUAAAUAAAAUUUAUUAGGAGGAAGCUCAAUAUGAUAAAGGCAAAGAGAUUUUAUGCUAACACUUAACCAGUUCCACAAAGCUUUGUUGUCUAUUUGAGCUCCACAAAAUUCAAGGAUCAAAGAAGACUAGCAGACGAAGGACAUCCUAAUCGCUGUCAGGGUGCUGCCGACAUUCAAAUACACCUCCGCCACCUGCUAGCUACAUCAGGUGAAAUUACAUCAAAAUCCAGCUUGGGGGAGAGCACCCUCAUUUAUCCUGCUAAGUGUUUCUACUCGCGUUUAUACUUUACUCAAAUAAUAAAAAGAUGCAUAAUCAUGAAAACCCAAAUAAAAAUAUUGUGCUUAUAUAUAUAUCUUUGCUUAGUUUGCUAAAUAAAUAAAUAAAUAAAUAAAGUUUGAUAUGAACCCUAAUGAUAAACUCUUACUUGGAUGUGAUAAAUAGUUGCUCUGCCAUAUACCUAGUUUUCAAGUUUCAGCUUUCUCUCAAGUUUAGGCAUAACUGUUAUAAUUUAAACCUGCUCUAAACCUGAUCAUGUGGGAAGAGUACUUGAUCUAAAGUCUAAGUUGUUAACGGAUAUGAUAUGGGAAGGUUGAGCUGCUGUUUAUCUGUUCCUAGAGAUGCUAGAAUUCUAGAGAAUUUUAUCUUUGAAAAAUCUUUAAAAUAACACAUGAUGAGUUCCUGUAUGAUGAGAGUUUAAAUUCCAACCACAGCCAUAUAUACAUGCUUGCUAGACUUUGAGCCACUGAAGGGUCGAGAUGGCGGACUAGAGGGGGGUGAAUAGUCCUUUCUAAAACUUAUCGCACCGGCUAACCGAAAUAAGUGCGGAAUUAAAACUAUCGGUCUAGCCAAGACUACACCCCUCUAUCUAAGUUCUCUAGCACCUUGUAAAAGAUCCUAAACAAGCAAACAAGGUGCUACAUUAGCAAGAGCUCACUUAACCAAUUCUAGAAGCAAGGUCACACAAACCUAUGCCACUAGUACUUUGCAAACCGGGGAGCUCCUACACAACUAGUAAGCAAAAGCACAAAGCUCCUAAGCUCACUAGCAAUGCUCAAUAACAAGGCAACCAAUGCCAAAUUAGAGAGCGCAAAAUACUUAGCUACACAAACUAAGCAAUGUGACUAACAAGGUUACACAAACCAAAUUAGUCACGCAAAGGAACUACUUCUAGCUACACAAGCAAGAAGGUAACUAGAAAGCUACACAAGCUAACUAAUUACAAGAGCAACUACAUAAGCACAAUUAUAUGAAUGUAAGAACAAGCUUGUGUUAGGGACUUGCAAACCAACGGGAAGAACAAAUGUUGACACGAUGAUUUUCUCUCGAGGUUCACUUGGUUGCCACCAAGCUACGUCCUCGUUGAGACAAGCUCCAAGGUUGCCGCCGGUCCUCUUGUUAGUGGUGACCCGCAAGUCACACUCUCCCACGUGGAGUGCUUACCACAAGCUCUAGCACUUGACCCAGCCGGACCACUUGUCGCUCUUCACGUCUCGCUCAACUAGAGUUGCUCUUCGCGAUCCCCGCGGGGUGAGCACUGUACCCCUCACAAUCUCUUCUCUGGAGCACCGCACAAUCUCCUUGCGUGCUUCGACGGAGUCACAAGCCACCAAGCCGUCUAUGAGGUGGCAACCUCCAAGAGUAACAAGCACCACCGGCUUGCAACACAAACACCUAGUGCCACUCGAUGCAAUCUCUCAAUGCAACGCACUAGAAUCGCUCACUCACACAAUCGGAUGAUCACUAUCAAGCAUAUGUGAGUUAGAGGCUUCACUAGCACUCCCCAAGCAUGGACACUAAGUCCCAAGGGUGCUCAGCACUGGCCAAGGCCGGCCACCACUUCUAUUUAUAGCCUCAAGGACUAAACUAGCCGUUGCCUCUUCACUGGGCAAAACACGUGGGCACCGGACGCUCACAGGGAGCCAUCGGACGCUCCCUCAGCGUCCGGUGCUCAGGCGUCUGCCACGUGUCACUAGCCGUUUGAAUUCAACCGUUGCCGCCAACGGCUACUGCGCACGCGCGCUAGCACAGUGUUGACACUUGCUAACACCACUUGAAUACUAGGUUGUCAUCCCCAGCAUGGCACUAGAGUGUACUAUGGUAUUUAUACGCACACAGAUAAUCCGCAAGCGCACGGAUACCGUUGAAGCUUUUACCCGGUUAAAGGUUUUAUCGUAUCCACAGGGAAACAGGAGAACCAACUACGCUCUAACUUAACCAAGAUAGAUAGAUAGGUAUAAAUAGGAAAGAUAAUAGAAUCGAAUAAGAACAAUAUUAAAGGUAAGAUAACAGUGAGUGAUAAUAUGGAAAUAGAGAGUAGAGCAAUUCUAGUAUAUGGGCGAUGGUAGCAGAAUAGAGAGGAUAACUAUGGUUUCUCUACUUCAAAGGGGUAUGUCUAUGUCUGGGACGAACCACGUGAUAAGAGUACACCACAAAGGAUGCUUAUCCAUAGGCCGAUAAACCCUACCCGUCCUGCUAACGAGAGGUGGACUACAGGGGACCAACGUAACUGUCACCUACGCGGCCUACCACACGAUCCAGCUAGUCAGGGGAUAUCCACAAGUAAUCUAGGUCUAAGCACCACGCUUACACCUAUACUACAACUCUAACCUAUAGGGUCCUAUAGAUUAGAAGUACUCAAAAGAGUUGUGAACCAGAACAUACAUGAUUAGUAAUUGCAUAAUGAAUUAGAAGUAGAUUACCAGAGUCAUCCCAUGAGCAAGCUUGAUUAGAGCUUGAUCAUGGCGAAGUACAACCGGAGGAAGAACCGACAGGCCGGCCUCUCCUCUAAUCCUCCUUCGCUCUCCAUCUCGCUACUAUCUAGAUCUACUCUAGUUUAGAGAAGAGAGGAGAGCUCUCAUCUCUAAACCCUAGCUUUUGCUCUGUCUAUGAAUAAUGAAUAAUGAUCAAGGGGUGCCUCCUCCAGGGGCCAGGGGGUCUGGUUUUAUAGUCCCCUCAAGUGAACCUGGGCCGUCGGAUCAAACCGACAUUGAUUGAACGGUUAUUCUUGAUCCUUUAGGUCGGCGGAGCAUAAUCCGCGAGAUUGAGCAUGAUUGGCCACAACUCCUGGGCGGGCGCCCAAGGGGGGUGGGCGGGCGCCCUGCCCCCGGGCCCGUUCGCCUUCCCGUUCGUUCCCGUGGCUUCUGGAGUCUUCUAGAUGAUGUAAAAUUGCGCAGCACGUUAAUAUCUCUAUGUAAUCCGGACGUGUGGGCCUUUCUUCCAUAUUUCCUCAUAACCCCCUGCAGAAAUAGACAAACACCAAAACUCGUGGAAUUCUGUCAGAUAAAACCCUAAGUCUAGAUGUUGAUUUCAUUUGGAUCCUUUUCUUUGUUUAUUUGAUAGUUAAAUUUGAUACUUAAGGACCGUCAACAAACUCCCCCAAGCUUACCUCUUGCUCGUCCCUGAGCAAGGAUAGACUCAGCAAUGGAUCAGAAGUUGUUGCAAUAUCUUAAAUAUUUGACGGUACACAUGCUUUUAAAUAAGAUCUCAUCUCUGAGUUAGAGUAAACUGUCAAGAACUAAAACUUACUUACUUUACCUUUCACCAUGGGACUUGUAACCGUCACUUCUGUCUUGAGUAGUUAAAAGAUAGAACAGUCUAGCCAAGUGCCAUGUCUCUUAUUCUUGAUCAGCUAUAGCUCUGGAUUUUUUGCAGAUUUUCAAAUAAAACUCAGAGAUUCCUUUGUAUGACUCUCUCAUAUCUCUCUUUUGUGGUAUUUCUGGAUCCUUACCAAGGCAGUGACGGUAUAUGCCUUCUCUCAAGAUAUGUGGUAUUUGUGGUAUAAGGCAUAGUGACAUUGCCUUCUCUCUCACCCUACUCUAAUAAGGCUUUAAUAUCUGGAGCUCAUAGGUGGGAGAUAAAGUAUACAUACUUACAAGACAUUUAUUGUAUAGUCAAACCAUGGAUCCAAAGAAACAAAUCAAUAAGCCAAAUCAAGAUGUGCAUGUGUGGCGAAUGAAUAGUGUAUGGUGAUGAUGGUGAUAACAAUGGUGAAAGUCUAAUUCUACUUUUGCUCUUUUGAGGGGAUACAUACCUUCCUUGCUUUUUGAAACUUUAUGAGGAGAAUGAGAUGCUCUUCUUUUUCUUUUUCUUUUCAGGUGGGUAUCCUGUACCCCUAAUUCUACUGUCGGACACUUGUCCAUUUUUACCUCUCGUCUCACUCUUUUUCUUUUCUUUCGAGGUUUCGGGCACUUGCCCCUUUUUAUUUCCUCGUUUAUUUAUUAUUAGUUUUUUCUUUUCUUUUUUUUUCAGAGCACUCAUCUCCUGAAAUAAUGUAGCAAGUGGUAGUAACCAAAAUAACUGGAGUAUUUAUUUCACAGGGAAUAACAGGGAUAGGAAAAUGUUUUUGGCUAUUCUCUCCCGGAUUAGGAGUAGAAUGAUUUUAGGUGAAACUGGAGGUGGAAAUGGAUGGAUAUAUGUGGAUGGUACUUCCGGAGUAGAAGUAGCAUAUAUGAGUGAACGUGCAAGUGAAUCUUGAUUUAACCACAUGACAAGCUCCUAAGGGUCUACACAGCUUGACCACACUCAAUGCUCAUAAGCAGUAAAUAAAUGUGUGGCUCAAAGUCUAGCAAGCAUGUAUAUAUGGCUGUGGUAGGAAUUUAAACUUUCAUCAUACAAGAACUCAUCAUGCAAUAUUUUAAAGAUUUUUCAAAGAUAAAAUUCUCCAGAAUUCUAGCAUCUCUAGGAACAGAUAAACAACAGCUCAACCUUCCCAUAUCAUAUCCGUUAACAACUUAGAUUUCAGAUCAAGUUUUCAUCCCACAAGUUUAGAUCUAGAGCAAGCUUUAAAUUAUAACAGUUAUGUCUAAACUUGAGAGAGAACUUCAAAUUUGCAAAUUAGACAGAGCAACUAUUCAUCAUAUCCAUGCUAGAGUUUUAUUAUUAAAAUUCAGAUUAGCAUGGACACUUUAUUUAUUUAUUAAACACACUAAGCAAAAGAUAUAUAUAUAAGCACAAAAUCUUUAUUUGGUUUUUCAUAGUUUAUGCAUUUUAAUAUUCUAAUAUAAUAUAAGUAUAAAGAUAGGUAGAAAUACUUAGCGAGAUAAAUGGGGGUGCUCUCCCCCAAGCUGAAUUUUGACGUAAUUUCUCUUGAUGUAGCUAGCAGGUGGCAGAGGUGUAUUUGAAAGUCAGCAGCAUUGUGACAGCGAUUAGAAUGUCCUCCAUCUGCUAGUCUUCUUAAUUCUUAAAUUCUGUGGAGCCCAAAUAGACAACAAAGCUUGUGGAACUAAUUAAGUGUUAGCAUAAAUAUCUAGCCUUCAUCACGUUGAGCUUCCUUAAUAAAUAUUACUCCUUGUUUUUAUAUUUUUAUUUUAUAAAGUAAAAAAGAAAUAUUUAUUUUAUUUUUAUGCCACCACAGUGAAGGUACUUAUGGGUUUUGUGCCACUCGUAUACCCACAUGGGGCUUAGUAGUUUUUAAAUUUUUUUUUUCUUUUCAAGAUAGCAUGAUUUACUAAUAAUCUAUUUAAGGAAAGUAAAUAAUUAAAGGGAAAAGGGAAUGUAGAAAGGAUAAAUAUGGAUAACUACCAAUCUUACCUUUCGGCGAGGGUUCAAUGUUUUAAGUCUUCUUUACAAGACUUCUCACCGUGUUUAUUCUUCAGGUGCGUCAUUUGAUUCAGGUGCGGACCUUGACGUCUGCACCUUUUAAUACGGUGUCACCCAUGUUCUUCGUUUGCCCAGCAGUUCGAAGUGAGGUGUUAGCAGUAUCUUGCUCAGUGUGUUUGUGCUCGUAGUGUACCUGCUCAUAGAGACAAGGCAGAGAUCCAGUGCAUGGGCCCUGUUGGUGGAAAACACCAACAGAACCAAAAGUGUAUUUGUUCUUCUCUAACCUUAAGCAUAGUGAGCAAGACAAGUUGAUGGAUGAUAAGUUCAUGAGUGUAGCACUUAUAACAUUUGUCAGAUCAGAUGGCUCAACCUUAUGGAAAGAUAAUCUAUCUAUGUAUAUGUCUUUUUCUUUAUAUCUCUCAAUGAUUGAAUGUGUAACAUCUUAGCUCAUAUGAUUAGGAGUGUGGGAUCAUGGAGGUAGUACUAAGAACAAGGAUUAAAGGACUAAACAUGUUUAAUCAGAUGGGUUGGUUAAUCUAGAGUUGUAAAUCAUACACGUUUGUCUCUUUUAUUUAUAGGAACGCCAUAACCAAGGAGAAGCUUAUAAAAGUGAUAGUCAAGUACCUUAAGAUGUUACCUUGCUCGAAGAGUGAUGGUACAGUAUCAUCUUGUGGAAGCUUUCCUUUCUUAGCGGUUAUGCGUCGUGUUUGUGGCACCCUCCAUGGAUCAUCUCUCUAUGAUGAAUGAGCUAUGUCCUUCUUGUGCAAAUUGUUAAACUUCAUGUGUCACUCUCUUCGUCUCUGAUGUGAGUUUAUCUUAGGACUUCCCAAAUCGGUAUUGAAAGUUUUCCUGCAGGGGUUAGUCCGACAAAAUAUACCAAUAUCUACUCAAGCAGUUUUUUUUAGUUCAAUAACCAAACUAGACUCCAUGUCUAAUCAGAUUAAGGAAGGCUAUUUAACCUAAGCACCAUGCUUAAUUUAAAUGCCAAUGGAAGUAUGGCGAGUACUUCCAAACCAACACUUGCUAGUAAAUAGACAAAGGUAGCAUGACAACAUUUAUAGAGAUUUACUCAAGUGGAGAUGAAGUAGUGUGAUUAGUAUUUAACAAAUUGAGCAUGUCUCAAAGGUAGGGACAACCAGCAUAGCAACAUGGCAAAGGAUGUUUUUAUGUAAAGUACUCCCCCAAGCUUGAAUUUUACAAAAUUCAAGUUUGGAUGAAUUUAAUUCAAUGUUGUAUGAUGAUUGGUUGGACAUACCUUGUACUUGUCAUUCAUCCCAUCUUCUUGCUCCAAUCCUGGAAAGGUUAGUGGCAAGAAUACCCGAAGGAAUAUUUUUUUUUGCAAUUAUUCUUAUAUGCUCAAUACACAAGGUAAUGUUGCAAAUAAUUAAAGGCUCAUGUUACGAUCUGAUCAAUGCUUAUUUUAAGACACUAAGCUUGUCCUUGGGAAACCAUCAGUUUAUGUUGGCGAAGUGGUUUCCCCUCCGACGCCAACCUAUAUCUAGAUCAACUCAACGAGAUCUGCAAUAUUUAUUAUAGACAUAUACAUCGACAACCGCCCUUUUAAAGUUUUUAUAAAUAGAAAGGAAGAGGGGGUUGGAGAUCUCAAGUGUGGUGAUGUCGGAGAGACCAAUAGAUUGGGAAGAUGUUGCAUAUGAGCAUGGAGUAAACGAAGUGGCUAUGAAAUAAAUUCCAUGCUCAUUAAUGUUAUCUUCGUCUCCAAUCUGAAUGUUCGAAGUUUCUCCUGGAUUGGUCUCACCUAUAUCCUCUUCUGUAGUUGGAUGAAUCUCAUCUUCAAAGGGAGUCAAGAACUCACCAUUUGAAAUUGAGCCAAAGUCAGAACCCAUUAAGGCUUCUUCCUUAUCCAUCCAUUUUACACAUUCUAGCCAUUUAGAACUUGUGAUCAAAAUAGGGGAGGUGUUAGAAUUUUCUAUAUGGCUUAGCUCUCCUUCACUUGAUAUGUCAUCCUCGACUUCUUCAUAACAGGAAUGAGGACAUUCUUUAAGAGAAACAUUAUUGCAAUGAUUUGAAUUAUCCCUGCUUGAAGGUCUCUUAUAGAACCAGAAGUCUAAACCAUCAGCAUCUAAAAGAUUUCAGGUCGGAAUUCCUUCCUCCCUUGGAGAAUUUUGGGGUAUUGAUGGUUUAGGAUCGAUAGCUAAAGUUUGGGAUUGAAGUGGUUGUAAUCUGGCUAUCGAAACUUCUUCUUCUUUUCUACGGACUGGUUCUUUCUCUUUCUCAGGGAUAUAAAAGCUAGGAGACUUUCCGCUCAUUAAAUCAAUCAAAUUCCAAGCUUCACUAGCGGAUAGGUGGUGGAAAGAUCAUCUAGAGGCCGCAUGAAGGGUUUGCUUAUUUUUCCUACUAAGGCCGUCAAAAAAGUGAAUUAGAAGAACUUCUUCUGGAAUAGAAAGUUUUGGGCCAGUGAGAGUAAGGUUAAUAAAGCGGUCCCAUGAUUUGCUAAGAGAUUCUUCUUCCAGUUGUCUAAAAGAAAGAAUCUCACGCCGAAGUUCCACCACUUUGGAGAUUGGAAAAUAUUUAGAAAGAAAGCUACUAUAUAACUCCUUCCAAUCUCCAUGAACACUCCCUACUUUGAGUUUAUACCAAUGUCUAGCUUUUCCCGUUAAAGAGAACGGAAAGAGCUUCCAUUUAAGGGUCUCAUCAGACAUGCCUUCUAUGCGAAGGAGGUCACAGACUCGAUAAAACUCUCUUAGGUGUGUGUAUGGGUUUUCCUCACCUUUUCCUGAGAAAGGUUGUUUUUGAAUAAAUUCUAUGUAUUCAGGGUCUAUCUCAAAACUAGAUGCUAUGAUAGGCUUUGAAGAUUUUGGUGGUUCGAGAUGUGUGCCCAUAGGUCUAUGAAAUUCAUAGAUAGACAUGUUUGAAUUCAUAAUAGACCACAGAUCAAGGAUUAGAUAAGAAGAAAGAAUAGCAGAGAUGAGGCAAAGGAUAAAAGGAAAAUAUUUUUUUUUGUUAUAUAUAUAUAUUUUUUAUAAAAUGAUUAAACUAGUUCGUAGUCAACUCAGCAACCGUUUCCCCGGCAACGGCGCCAAAAAUGCUUGUUGACACUUGCUAACACCACUUGAAUACUAGGUUGUCAUCCCCAGCAUGGCACUAGAGUGUACUAUGGUAUUUAUACGCACAGAGAUAAUCCGCAAGCGCACGGAUACCGUUGAAGCUUUUACCCGGUUAAAGGUUUUAUCGUAUCCACAGGGAAACAGGAGAACCAACUACGCUCUAACUUAACCAAGAUAGAUAGAUAGGUAUAAAUAGGAAAGAUAAUAGAAUCGAAUAAGAACAAUAUUAAAGGUAAGAUAACAGUGAGUGAUAAUAUGGAAAUAGAGAGUAGAGCAAUUCUAGUAUAUGGGCGAUGGUAGCAGAAUAGAGAGGAUAACUAUGGUUUGUCUACUUCAAAGGGGUAUGUCUAUGUCUGGGACGAACCACGUGAUAAGAGUACACCACAAAGGAUGCUUAUCCAUAGGCCGAUAAACCCUACCCGUCCUGCUAACGAGAGGUGGACUACAGGGGACCAACGUAACUGUCACCUACGCGGCCUACCACACGAUCCAGCUAGUCAGGGGAUAUCCACAAGUAAUCUAGGUCUAAGCACCACGCUUACACCUAUACUACAACUCUAACCUAUAGGGUCCUAUAGAUUAGAAGUACUCAAAAGAGUUGUGAACCAGAACAUACAUGAUUAGUAAUUGCAUAAUGAAAUAGAAGUAGAUUACCAGAGUCAUCCCAUGAGCAAGCUUGAUUAGAGCUUGAUCAUGGCGAAGUACAACCGGAGGAAGAACCGACAGGCCGGCCUCUCCUCUAAUCCUCCUUCGCUCUCCAUCUCGCUACUAUCUAGAUCUACUCUAGUUUAGAGAAGAGAGGAGAGCUCUCAUCUCUAAACCCUAGCUUUUGCUCUGUCUAUGAAUAAUGAAUAAUGAUCAAGGGGUGCCUCCUCUAGGGGCCAGGGGGUCUGGUUUUAUAGUCCCCUCAAGUGAACCUGGGCCGUCGGAUCAAACCGACAUUGAUUGAACGGUUAUUCUUGAUCCUUUAGGUCGGUGGAGCAUAAUCCGCGAGAUUGAGCGUGAUUGGCCACAACUCCUGGGCGGUCCCCCAAGGGGGGUGGGCGGGCGCCCUGCCCCCGGGCCCGUUCGCCUUCCCGUUCGUUCCCGUGGCUUCUGGAGUCUUCUAGAUGACGUAAAAUUGCGCAGCACGUUAAUAUCUCUCUGUAAUCCCGACGUGUGGGCCUGUCUUCCAUAUUUCCUGAUAACCCCCUGCAGAAAUAGACAAACACCAAAACUCGUGGAAUUCUGUCAGAUAAAACCCUAAGUCUAGAUGUUGAUUUCAUUUGGAUCCUUUUCUUUGUUUAUUUGAUAGUUAAAUUUGAUACUUAAGGACCGUCAACACACAGCACCACCGGACGCUCAACUAGUCCACACCGGACGCGUCCGGUGCACACCGGACUCGUGCGCAGAGAGCUCCGCAAACUCGUAGGGUCACCGGACACAAGCCACCAGACGCACCCAGAGCGUCCGGUGCUCACCGGACUCAUGCGCAGAGAGGGUCGCCAAACCGCCCGCUGUUGGGUAUUUUAAACGCAAACAGAAAAAUCUGCAAGCGCACGGAUACCGAUGUAGCUUUCACCCGGGAGUAUUCCAGAGUAUCGAUUUUCCACAGGGAACGUGAGUGUACUAAUUAAGAUUCAAGAUCGCCCAAGGAUAACUAUAUAAUUAUUUUUGGUGGGAAGAGAGGAAGUUUCCUGAGAGUUCUCUAGUUGAUCCAAGAAUCAAGAAUUACUUCAAGAUUAUCUAUAUCGGGACAUCAGAGCACUAACCACAGAAAGAGAUGAGAUGGGGGCUAGGAAGGUCUGACUACGGUCCUACAAACACCGAUCCGAACGAGGUGGAAUACGUCGACCGUUAGGGCUGUCACUACCCUAAGGCUACCACAACAAUCCGCAGGAUUGGGUGCAAUUCCAGGUAAUUGCAAGACUAAACACCACGUCUAAUCUAUUAAUUACUACUCUAAUGUUGCAAAGAUUAGAGCACUUGAUGCAAGCGGGAAUCCAAUAAAUAACUUGAAUGUAAACAAAAGUAAUUAAAGAACUCAGGAUUAUGAAUUGAAGAACCUGGAGAACGAUGAAGAACGAACCAGUUGCUGCAAAAGUACAAUGUUGAGGAAGAUCCGACAGAUCCGGCUCCUCCUCCGCUCUCCUCUUCUCUCUCCCUAUUUUCUAGAUUACAACUAGAACUAACUAGAACUAGAACUAGAGGAACUAGAACUAGAACUAGAUGAACUAGAUCUAGAUCUAGAUGGACUAGAGGUAGAACUAGAAGAACUAGAGGGAUCCUCUCUACUUGGAUGAAGAAUUGAAACCCUAGCUUUGAUUCUGUAGAAGAGGUAUGAUCUCCAGGGGCCAGGGGGUCUGGUUUUAUAGUCCCUUCAAGUGAAUCUGGGCCGUCGGAUCAAACCGACAUUGAUCGUGUGGUUUUCCUUGAAGUAUUAGGUCGGUGGAGCAUGAUCCCCGAACUUCACCCUGAUUGGUCCAGGGGGAGGGCGGGCGCCCAGUAAGGGAGGGCGGGCGCCCAGUGCCCGGCUCCGUUACGUCUCCCGUUCGCUCCCGUGGCUUCUGGAGUCUUCUAGAUGCUAGAAAAUUGCACGACACGUUAAUAUCUCUAUGUAAACCCGACGUGUGGGCCUUUCUUCCAUAUUUCCUGAUAACCCCCUGCAGAAAUAGACAAACACCCAAAACUCGUGGAAUUCUGUCAGAUAAAACCCUAAGUCUAGGUGUUGGUUGCAUUUGGAUCCUUUUCCAUGAUUAGUUGAUGGUUAAAUGUGAGCAUUAAGGACCGUCAACAAGCUCCCCCAAGCUUAACCUUUGCUCGUCCCUGAGCAAAGCUAAAAUCAUCAAGAAAAAUAGGGGUUACUUUUAUGCCUCUUACUAUAGGGUUUUUAAGUUAUCACUAAGGUCUUAAGUGAUUGAAAAACAGAACGAUCAAGUCAAGCACUAUGUCUCAAGUUCCUCUGUCUUACCUUUGUUCUGGAGUUUUUUAUAAGUCUGCAAAAUAAAACUGAGGCAUUUGCCUUCUUCUCGAAAGAUAUAUAAGUAGAGCUUUAAAAGUUUAGCAUACUUACUUUGCAUUUUGCUAUGUCAACGCUCGGAGUAAGGGAGAGGAAUAUCAUACUCCUAGAUCAAGACCUUUGACCUUUUUGAAAAGUUUGUCAUCUCUUACUGGCAUAUUGCUUAUUAGAGGGACCAUGGGCUAUCAUUUUAUUUCUUUUUUUUUCUCUUUUUUUUAAUCUUCUUUUUUUUUAAGUGGGCAGCAAGUACCCCUAAUUCUACUGUCGGACACAUGUCCAUUUUUUCCACUCAGGUGGGUAUCUUUGUACCCCUAAUUCUACUUCGGACACUUGUCCAUUUUUACCUCUCGUCUCACUCUCUCUUUUUUUUUGAAUCAAAUUUUUGCAUAGUCCCAUGCCUCUAACGCGAUAAUACUUCGGAAGAGUGAAUCUUUUAUAUUUUUAAAACAAAAAGAUCUUGAUCUUGGGAGCAUGAUAAUUCUCUCAACCAAAACUAUAAGAAUUAACAAUGGCUUGAACAAAGCAAGUGCCCACAGUUUUAAUAUUCAUAUCUUAUAAGACUCUAGGUAUUAUGAUCUCAUAUUUAUUUAUUUUUUUAUGAAUUUUUAGAUUUUCAAAAGAUAAAAUCUCCAGAACUCUAGCAAAACUUGGAACAAGUUAAAUAGUAGCUCAGACCUUCUCAUAUCAUGUUUGUCAAUUACCUAGACUUGAAUCAAACUUUCUUUUUAUUUUAUUUAAAACUUAGGAUUACACAAAACUAUUGUAUAUUACUCAAAAGAAAAACUUUGUUUGGUUUCAUGGUUUUGCAUUUUUAUUUAUUUAUUUAUUUCAGAAUACUAGUAAAUAAAACCAAGAAAGGAAAGUAAUACUUAUCUAGAUACACGUAGGGGUGCCUCCCCCAAGCUGGAUGUUGACAUAGUCGUUCACUCUUGUGGCCUGCAUGUUCGGUCUCACUCUUCUUAAGCCUCAAAAUCCUGCACAACCCAAAUAGACAACAAAACUUGUGGAACAUGUUAAGGGUUAAGUAAUUGUCUAGAGCUUAUGAGAGCUUAAUGUGAGAAUUCUAUGAACUCAAUCACAUCAGGUUCCUCUACCAGGUUGUUUUGUGGCUCGAGAUAGAUUUUCAAGCAUUGACCAUUUACCUUAAAAGUGUUACCUAUGUCGUCUUGGAUGGUAAUGGCUCCAUGAGUUGAAGUAUCAAUAACUUUGUAUGGUCCAUCCCACUUACUUCGUAGCUUACCAUGCCCAAAGAGCUUAACUCUUGAAUUGAAUAGUAGAACCUUAUCUCCAGACUUAAACUCCUUGUGCUUGAUUCUCUUAUCAUGCCAUCGUUUUGUUCUCUCUUUAUAGAUCCUUGAAUUGUGGUAGGCUUUCUCUCUCCAUUCUUCUAGCUCAGAUAGUUGCAUCAGACGAUUCUCACUAGCGAGGUGGAGAUCCAUGUUCCAUUUCUUGAGUGCCCAAUGAGCCUUAAACUCUACUUCGACAGGCAAAUGACAAGUUUUUCCAUAUACAAGUUGAUAAGGUGACAUGCCUAUGGGUGUUUUGAAUGCAGUUCUAUAUGCCCAAAGUGCAUCAGGAAGUUUGUCCUUCCACCCCUUACCCAUCUCAUCUACGGUCUUUUGUAAAAUAUUUUUGAUUUCUUUGUUAGAUGUUUCGGCUUGACCGCUAGUCUGAGGAUGGUAUGGUGUUGCGACGUUAUGUCGAACUCCAUGAUCGGCUAGGUACUUCCGGAAGAUUUUGUCGAUGAAGUGGGAACCUCCAUCGCUUAUAACUAUCCGGGGUAUACCAAAGCGAGGAAAGAUUACUUCAUGGAACAUUCUCUUGGCAUGUUUUGAAUCAGCUGAUCGACAAGGUAAGGCUUCUACCCAUUUGGACACGUAGUCCAUAGCUACUAAGAUAUACUCGCAAUUCCCGGACAUAGGGAAUGGCCCCAUGAAAUCAAUGCCCCAUACAUCGAAUAGUUCUACUUGAAGAUUAUUUGUGAGAGGAAUUUCAUUUCGUGAGUUAAUAUUCCCAUGUUUUGACACCGGUGGCAUCUCCUGACAAAGUCCUUUGUAUCUUCAUACAUCGUUGGCCAGAAAAAACCACUUUGCCAAAUUUUAGCAUGUGUCCGGAAUGCUCCAUAAUGUCCUCCAUAUGGCGAGGCAUGGCAUCUUUCCAUAAUUUGAGUAGCCUCAGCCAUAGGAACACACCUUCUCAAGAGUCCAUCAGUGCAGACUCGGAAAAGAUAUGGCUCAUCCCAAAGGUGGAAACAACUAUCGUGAAGCAACUUCCUUUUGUUUGCACUAGGUGGGACAUAGCCUUUUACUAUAAAGUUUACGAUGUCUGCGUACCAUGGAUCUGCAUGUGUUAUCUUAAGUAGGGUGUCAUCCCUUAGGUAGUCAUUUAUGGGAAGUUCAUCAUGUGUUUCCUUAUAUUGAAGCCUAGACAAGUGGUCGGCUACGGAAUUCUCAACUCCCUUCCUAUCUCGGAUUUCUAUGUCAAAGUCUUGGAGUAGAAGAAUCCAUCGAAUGAGACGAGGCUUAGCAUCUUUCUUAGUGAGGAGGUACUUGAGAGCAGCAUGGUCUGAAUAGAUGAUUAUCUUUGCCCCCACUAAGUAAGAUCUAAACUUGUCUAUAGCAUAGACAACAGCCAAAAGCUCUUUUUCAGUUGUAGUGUAAUUGAGCUGUGGUCCAGACAAGGUUUUGCUAGCGUAGGAUAUGGCAUAAUGCUUUUUAUCCUUGGUUUGUCCUAAAACGGCCCUGACCGCAAAAUCACUGGCAUCACACAUGAUCUCAAAAGGAAGAUUCCAAUCAGGUGGUUGGAUAAUCGGGGCUGAGAUGAGUGCUUUCUUAAGAGUUUGAAAAGAUUCAUGACACUCAUCACUAAAGAUGAAAGGUGCAUCCUUAGCUAGGAGAUUAGUUAGGGGUCUAGCAAUUUGAGAGAAGUUCUUGAUAAAGCGUCUAUAGAACCCUGCAUGUCCCAAAAAGCUACGGAUUCCUUUCACAUUCGUGGGAGGUGGAAGUUUUUCAAUAACUUCAAUCUUUGCUUUGUCCACCUCUAUACCACGUUCGGACACUUUAUGUCCUAGCACUAUUCCUUCCUGAACCAUAAAAUGGCAUUUCUCCCAGUUCAGGAUUAAGUGCUUUUCUUCACAUCGCUGCAAGACUCUAUCUAAAUUCUCCAAACAAUGAUCGAUGGUUUUGCCAUAGACGGUAAAAUCAUCCAUGAAAACCUCCAUGAUCUUCUCAAUCAUGUCCGAGAAAAUAGACAUCAUGCACCGUUGGAAAGAAGCUGGAGCAUUGCACAAUCCGAACGACAUUCGUCGGUAUGCAUAAGUUCCAUAUGGGCAUGUAAAGGUAGUCUUUUCUUGGUCAUCUGGGUCGAUUGGGAUUUGGUGAUAUCCAGAAUAACCAUCAAGGAAACAAAAGAAAGAGUGGUUUGCAAGCCGUUCCAACAUUUCAUCAAUGAAGGGUAACGGAAAGUGAUCUUUCUUUGUAGCCUUGUUGAGUUUUCGAUAGUCAAUACACAUACGCCACCCAGUGACAAUUCGUUGAGGGAUGAGUUCAUUUUUCUCAUUCAUAACAACCGUCAUUCCUCCUUUCUUUGGCACUACUUGGACAGGGCUAACCCACUCACUAUGUGGCACAGGAUAAAUAAUCCCAGCACGAUAGAGUUUGAGGACCUCUUUCUUAACAACCUCUCGCAUAGCAUUGUUAAGUCUCCGUUGUGGUUCCCUUGAAGGUGUAGAAUUGGGAUCAAUAGGGAUACGAUGAGUACAGAGAAUGGGACUAAUGCCCGUGAGAUCCUCGAGAGAGUAGCCAAAUGCUGAUCUAUGUCUUUCAAGAACAGUGACAAGUUGUUGUGUUUCAUAAUCGGAAAGCUUGUCACUAAUAAUUACUGGAGUUUUUGAGUUGUUGUGCAAAAAGACAUAUCUAAGGCCAGAAGGAAGAGGUUUUAAUUCUAUCGAAGGAGGUGAAGGUAGUUCAUUUUUGUCUAGCUCAACGGGUUCUACCAACUCUUCUUCUUCUUGAACAAAGUGUUCAUCAUUAAAGAAUGGUUGGGUCAUCUCCUCUUGAGUCACCAUUAAGAUCUCCUCAAUAGGAUCUGGGUCAAGUUUGGGUUCCACUAUCGUGUUAAUUGAUCUAGCUAGAGGAACAACAAUAGUGGAAUUCCCAACUUUGAAGUCUAAAUGACCUCGUUGUGGUUGUUCUUCUAGAAGUUUCAUGAUUGGUCUACCAAUCAAGAGAGGAAUCUCCGGUAUGUCAAAAAUGUGAAAAUCUAGACAUAUUCUAGAGUCCUUGAUUCUAACAGGAACUGCCCUUAAUACCCCAUGGCUUUCUAGAAUUAAUCUAGAUGGACUUUGUAAAAGUUUUUGAGAUGGGGUUAUGGACUCGUUGGGAUAAAGAGUGUCAGCUAACUCCUUGGAAAUAACAUUUAUCCCAACAUAUGGAUUGUAGUGGACCUUCCUAGGGGACCUUCUAAUUUGGCACAGAAGAAUGGUUGAAGGAGUGAUGAAUCGAGCUACCUCAGGAGACAGCUCAGCUUCUGUUAGCCAUUCAUAACUCAGAAUAGCCGAAAGGCUUUUGAUGUGUUCUAUGUCAACAGAUUCUACUCUUAGAACAGAUUGAGUGGUCCUUGCUAGAGGUCGUGUUUGGAUAGGAAAAUUCGAGGUGUUUCCAUAAUCUUCAAAAAGAUCUUCCUCGAAUUCAAAGGGAUGCUCUAAAGGUGGUGGUUCAUCAUCCCUUAGUUGGUUUUGCAUUCCUUUAUCAGGAGGUUUCUCUACAACCAAAUUAAUGGAUGGGUCAGGUGGAAUUUCUGUCUUGGUUGCAAGUUCCUCAUCUUUUGGUUUAGGAUUAGGCUCGACUUCUUUUUCUUCUUCAGGAAACUCAUCAUAAAUGCCUGUGUAAGGGGUAUUUUCAAGAAUUCUUUCUAGGAUAGCUCUCCCGUCAUCUGUGAGUUUGUGUGUGAAUGAGCCUCCUGAAGCAAUGUCGAGGUGAAGAGCAGCUUCCUUGUUUAGACCACGAUAGAAGUGGUAGUAUAGUACAUGGUCAGGCAGGGAAAGGUUUGGACCGGAAUUGGUAAGGCUUGUGAACCUAGCCCAAGCUGCUCCUAAAGUUUCCUUCUCUCUUUGUUUGAAUGUAAGAAUUUCAAUUCUAAGGUCAGCAAUUCGAAAAAGUGGGAAGAAAGCGAGACAAAAGUUGUCUCGAAGUUCAUCCCAACUUCCAUUAACGCCUCCUACAGAAUGAGCAUACCAUUUUUUUGCUCUUCCCAAAAGGGAGAACGGAAAUAACUUCCAUUUAAGGGUUUCUUGUGUCAUGCCGGAAAUAGAUCGGCAAGAACACAACUGCUCGAAUUCUCUAAGGUGGGUGUAUGGAUCUUCAUCUACUUGCCCAGAGAAGGAUUGCUCCUGAAUCAUGGCUAUUAGAUCAGGGCCGAGGUCGUAGCCAUCUGUAAGAAUUGGAUGUGAUGAUGGUGGUGGCUCUAAUAACUCGCCCUUUGGAGCAAAGAAUUUAUAGAUAGGAGUGAAAUCCAUGUGGUGUGGUGAAAAUGGUAAGGUGAGUGUGGUAAAAAGGAAAGGAAAAAGGAUACACGGACGACUUGGUUUGAAACUAGCACAGCUACCGUUCCCCGGCAACGGCGCCAGAAAGCUUGUUGGGUAUUUUAAACGCAAACAGAAAAAUCCGCAAGCGCACGGAUACCGAUGUAGCUUUCACCCGGGAGUAUUCCAGAGUAUCGAUUUUCCACAGGGAACGUGAGUGUACUAAUUAAGAUUCAAGAUCGCCCAAGGAUAACUAUAUAAUUAUUUUUGGUGGGAAGAGAGGAAGUUUCCUGAGAGUUUUCUAGUUGAUCCAAGAAUCAAGAAUUACUUCAAGAUUAUCUAUAUCGGGACAUCAGAGCACUAACCACAGAAAGAGAUGAGAUGGGGGCUAGGAAGGUCUGACUACGGUCCUACAAACACCGAUCCGAACGAGGUGGAAUACGUCGACCGUUAGGGCUAUCACUACCCUAAGGCUACCACAACAAUCCGCAGGAUUGGGUGCAAUUCCAGGUAAUUGCAAGACUAAACACCACGUCUAAUCUAUUAAUUACUACUCUAAUGUUGCAAAGAUUAGAGCACUUGAUGCAAGCGGGAAUCCAAUAAAUAACUUGAAUGUAAACAAAAGUAAUUAAAGAACUCAGGAUUAUGAAUUGAAGAACCUGGAGAACGAUGAAGAACGAACCAGUUGCUGCAAAAGUACAAUGUUGAGGAAGAUCCGACAGAUCCGGCUCCUCCUCCGCUCUCCUCUUCUCUCUCCCUAUUUUCUAUAUUACAACUAGAACUAACUAGAACUAGAACUAGAGGAACUAGAACUAGAACUAGAUGAACUAGAUCUAGAUCUAGAUGGACUAGAGGUAGAACUAGAAGAACUAGAGGGAUCCUCUCUACUUGGAUGAAGAAUUGAAACCCUAGCUUUGAUUCUGUAGAAGAGGUAUGAUCUCCAGGGGCCAGGGGGUCUGGUUUUAUAGUCCCUUCAAGUGAAUCUGGGCCGUCGGAUCAAACCGACAUUGAUCGCGUGGUUUUCCUUGAAGUAUUAGGUCGGUGGAGUAUGAUCCCCGAACUUCACCCUGAUUGGUCUAGGGGGGAGGGCGGGCGCCCAGUAAGGGAGGGCGGGCGCCCAGUGCCCGGCUCCGUUACGUCUCCCGUUCGCUCCCGUGGCUUCUGGAGUCUUCUAGAUGCUAGAAAAUUGCGCGGCACGUUAAUAUCUCUAUGUAAACCCGACAUGUGGGCCUUUCUUCCAUAUUUCCUGAUAACCCCCUGCAGAAAUAGACAAACACCCAAAACUCGUGGAAUUCUGUCAGAUAAAACCCUAAGUCUAGGUGUUGGUUGCAUUUGGAUCCUUUUCCAUGAUUAGUUGAUGGUUAAAUGUGAGCAUUAAGGACCGUCAACACCCGCACACCGGACGCUGAGCACCGGACUCACUUCGGUGCGUCCGGUGCACUCUGCUGCACCCGACAGCACACCGGACGCUAAAGGCCAGCGUCCGGUGCCUCCGCGUAGUGCGUCCGGUGAGUGUUUUCUACUCCCAUGACUUCUCCAAAUUUUCCAUCGGCGCAAUAGAAAAUAUACGCUUGAUUUUCUCAAAAGCGCCGAACACCAAUCUCAACCCUAGGAACACCACCUCCUUUGUAAAGUGUGCCAACACCAACAAGUGUACACCACCAUGUGCAUGUGUGUUAGCAUUUUCUCAAACAUUUUUUCAAAGGAGUUAGCCUCUCAAACUUGCCACGCCACUCGAUCCUAACACGUAUGCAGAGUUAGAUCACUCAAGUGGCACUAGAUGACCGAUAUGCAAACAAGUUUUGCCCCUCUUGAUAGUACGGCCAUCUAUCUUAAAUCCGGUCAUAAACUUCUCUACACACCUAUGACCGGUGAAAUGGAAAUGCCCUAGGUUAUACCUUUGCCUUGCGCAUUUCAUUUCAUCUCCUCCAAUGUUGAUGCAACACAUGCACCAACUAAUCACCAAAUGAUAUGAUCCACUUCAUAUCAUCACGUGACCGUAUUGGUUCAUCGAUCUUGACCUCACUUGCUCUUUACCGUUGCCUUGGUCCAUCGGCGCCAAGUCUUGCUCAAGCUUCACCGUCACACACGGUCCCUCGCUUCAAAGCCUCCGACUUGCCCUUCACUCUUGCAACCGGUCCAUCAAGCCAAGCCUCAUCUUGAUCUUCUCCACCUUGGUCACAUGACUCCAUGUCAUGUCUCAUAUGCAAUGAGCUCCUCCAUCAUCAUAUAAUCACCUGUGAACUAAUCUCCUGUGUAUCUCACAUAAACACUAUUAGUCCACCUAAGUUGUCACUCAAUUACCAAAACCAAACAAGGACCUUUCAGCCACACAUUUACUUUUUACUACUUAUGAGCAUUGAGUGUGGUCAAGCUGUGUAGACCCAUAGGAGCAUGUCAUGCGGUUAAAAUCAAGAUCCAUUUGCACGUUCACUCAUACAUGCUACUUCUACUCAGGAAGUAUGCAUCCACAUACAUCCACUCAAUUCCAUCUCCAGAUUCACCUAAAAUUAUUGUACACCUAAUUCGGGAGAGAAUAGCCAAAAACAUUCUCCUAUUUCUGUUUUUCCCUAUGAAAUAAAUGCUCGAGUUAUCUUGGUUACUACCAUUUGCUAUAUUAUUUCAGGAGAUGAGUGCUCUUAAAAAAAGAAGAGAGAAAGAAUACGAGGAAAUAAAAAGGGGCAAGUGCCCGGAACCUCGAAGAAAAGAAAAGGUGAGACGAGAGGUAAAAAUGGAUAAGUGUCCGAUAGUAGAAUUAGGGGUAGAAGAUACCCACCUGAGAGAAAAGAAAAAGAAAAUAUAUAGCAUCUCAUUCUCCUCAAAAAGCUUCAAAGUGCAAGAAAGGUAUGUAUCCCCUAAAAAUAGAAAAAGUAGAAUUAGACUUUCACCAUUAUUAUUACCAUCAUCACCAUACACCAUUCAUUCGCCACACAUACACAUCUUGAUUUGACUUGUUUCUCUGGAUCCAUGGUUUGACUAUGCAAUAAAUCUCUUGUAAGUAUGUAUUAUCUGUCUCCCACCUAUGAGCUCCAGAUAUCAAAACCUUAUUAGAAUAGGGUGAGAGAGAAGGCAAUAUCACUAUGCCUCAUACCAAAAAUACCACAUACUUCGAGAGAAGGCAUAUACUAUUACUGCCUUGGAAAGGAUCCAUAAAUACCACAAAAGAGAGAUUUGAGAGAGUCAUACAAGGAAUCUCUGAUUUUUAUUUGAAAAUCUGCAAAAACUCCAGAGCUAUAGCUGAUCAAGAAUACGAGACAUGGCGCUUGACGUGACUGUUCUAUCUUUUAACUGCUCAAGACACAAGUGACGGUUGCAAGCCCCAUGGUGAAUGGUAAAAUGAGUAAGUUUUAAGUCUUAACAGUUUACUCUAACUCAGAGAUGAGAUCUUACUUUUAAGGCAUGAAACCACUGCAGAAACUCUUGAGUUCAUCCUUGCUCAGGAACGAGCAAGAGGUAAGCUUGGGGGAGUUGUUGACGGUCCUUAAGUACCAAAUAUAAUCAUCAAAUAAAUAAAGAAAAGGAUCCAAAUGCAACCAACACCCAGACUUAGGGUUUUAUCUAACAGAAUUCCAUGAGUUUUGGUGUUUGUCUAUUUUUGUAGUGGGUUAUCAGGAAAUACGGAGGAAAGGCCCACACGUCGGGUUUACAUAGAGAUAUUAACGUGCCGCACAAUUUUCUAUCAUCUAGAAGACUCCAGAAGCCACGGGAACGAACGGGAAGCUGAGAGGGCUCAGGGACAGGGCGCCCGCCCUACUCUCCUGGGCGCCCGCCCACUUCCAAAGUCCAAACAGGACACGUUUCGCGGAUCACGCUCCACCGACCUAAAGGAUCAAGGAAAACCGUGCGAUUAAUGUUGGUUUGAUCCAACGGCCCAGAUUCAUCUGAAAAGACUAUAUAAGCAAGACCCCCUGGCCCCUGGAGAUCAUACCUCUUCUACAGAAUAAAAGUUAGGGUUUCAAUUCUUCAUCCAAGUAGAGAGGAUCCCUCUAGUUCAUCUAGUUCUAGUUCCUCUAGUUCUAGUUCCUCUAGUUCUAGUUCUAGUUCGUUGUAGUUGUAAUCUAGAAGAUAGGGAGAGAGAAGAGGAGAGCGGAGGAGGAGCCGAAUCUGUCGGAUCUUCCUCAACAUUGUACUUUUGUAGCAACUGGUUCGUUCUUCAUCGUUCUCCAAGUUCUUCAAUUCAUAAUUCCUGAGUUCUUUAAUUAGUUUUAUUUACAUUCAAGUUAUUUAUUGGAUUCCCGCUUGCAUCAAGUGCUCUAGUCUUUAUAACGCUAGAGUAGUAAUUAAUAGAUUAGACGUGGUGUUUAGUCUUGCAAUUACCUGGAAUUGCACCCAAUCCUGCGGAUUGUUGUGGUAGCCCUAGGGUAGUGAUAGCCCUAACGGUCGACGUAUUCCACCUCGUUCGGAUCGGUGUUUGUAGGACCGUAUUUAGAGCUUCCUAGCCCCCUUCUCAUCUCUUUCUGUGGUUAGUGUUCUGAUGUCCCGAAAUAGAUAAUCUUGAAGUAAUUCUUGAUUCUUAGAUCAACUAGAGAACUCUCAUGAAACUUCCUCUCUUCCCACCAAAAAUAAUUAUAUAGUUAUCCUUGGGCGAUCUUGAAUCUUAAUUAGUACACUCACGUUCCCUGUGGAAAAUCGAUACUCUGGGAUACUCCCGAGUGAAGGCUACAUCGGUAUCCGUGCGCUUGCGGAUUUUUCUAUUUGCAUUUAAAAUACCCAACAAGCUUUCUGGGGCCGUAGCUGGGGAACGGUAGCUGUGCUAGUUUCAAACCAAGUCGUCCGUGUAUCCUUUUUCUUUUGCUUUUUUAUCACACUCACCUUACCAUUUUCACCAUACCACAAGGAUUUCACUCCGAACAUUAAUGAGCAUGGAAUUUAUUUCAUAGCCACUUCAUUUGCUCCAUGCUCAUAUGCAAUAUCUUCCCAAUCUAUUGGUCUCUCCAACAUCACCACAUUCAAGAUCUCCAACCCCCUCUUCCUUCCUAUUUAUAAAAACUUUGAAAGGGCGGUUAUCGAUGCAUAUGUCUAAAAUAAAUACUACAGAUCUCGUUGAGUUGAUCUUGAUAUAGGUCAGCGUUGGAGGGGAAACCACUUUGCUGACAUAAAUUGAUGGUUUCCUAAGGACAAGCUUAGUGUCCUAAAAUAAGCACUGAUCAGAUCGUAACAUGAGCUUUUAACAAUUUGCAACAUUACCUUGUGUAUUGAGCAUAUAAGGAUAAUUGUAAAAAAUUCCUUCGGGUAUUCUUGUCACUAACCUUUCCAGGAUUGGAGCAAGAAGAUCGGAUGAAUGACAAGCACAAGGUAUGUCCAACCAAUCAUCACACAACAUUGAAUUAAAUUCAUCCAAACUUGAAUUUUGCAAAAUUCAAGCUUCGGAGAGUACUUUACAUAAAAACAUCCCUUGCCAUGUUGCUAUGUUGGUUGUCCCUACCUUUGAGACAUGCUCAAUUUGUUAAAUACUAAUCACACUACAUCAUCUCCAGUUGAGUAGAUCUCUAUAAAUGUUCUCAUGCUACCUUUAUUUGCUUUAGUAUAUGUCUAGGUUUGAAGUAGUUUCAUUUAUCUCUUAAUUAAGCAUGGUGCUUAGUUUAGGAAUGAUGAUCUUAUUUCCAAGGGAUUUUAAAUUAAGCAUGAUGCUUAGGUUAAAAUGCCCUCCUAAAUCAAAUUAGACAUGGUGUCUAGGUUGAUUUAUUGAGCUGAUAGUAUGCUAUAGUAGAUAUUGGAUAUUUUGUUGGACUAACCCCUGCAGGAAAACUUUCAAUAUUGACCUGGGAGGUGCUGAGAUAAACUCACAUUGGAGACAUAGAGAGAGACACAUGAAGUUUAACAAUUCACACAAGGAAGGCAUAGCUCACAAGAGAUGAUCCAUGGAGGGUGCCACAAACGCGAUGCACAACCACUAAGAAAGGAAAGCUUCCACAAGGUGAUACUGUACCAUCACUCUUCAAGUAAGGUAACAUCUUAAGGUACUUGACUAUCACUUUUAUAAGUUUCUCCUAGGUUCUGGCGUUCACAUGAAUAAAAGAGACAAACAUGUAUGAUUUACAACACUAGAUUAACCAAUCCAAUCGAUUCAACAUGUUUAGUCCUUCCAGCUUUGUGAUCCUACACUCCUAAUCAUAUAAGCUAAAAAUGUUGCACACUCAAUCUUUGGAAGAUAUAUAAAAAAACAUAAGUAUAGAUAGAUUAUCUUUCCAUUAGGUUGAGCGAUCUGAUCUGACAAAUGUUUUAAAUGUUACACUCAUGAUCUUAUUAUCCAUCAACUUUGUCUUGCUCACUAUGCUUAAGGUUAGAGAGAACAAAUACACUUUUGGUUUUGUUGGUGUUUUCCACCAACAGAGCCCAUGCACUUGAUCUCUGCCUUGUCUAUAUGAGCAGGUACACUUCGAGCAAAAUAUGAAGAAGUUUUACAACUCCCAGACUCCACCAAGUGAAGAACCUAGAUCUACAUGCACAAACACACUGGAGAUACUGGACACUCAAGCAAUCACUGCCCGAAGAUACUUGAGGAUGUAACUACUAGAGUAACCCUAUUAUGGAAAUAAUUACUGACCUUCUGCCGGUCAAGAGAGGCGAUCCAGGACACCCCGUCAUCCCGAUCUCCAUCGGCAUGGAGGACUUCCCAGAAGCACUCUGCGAUUUUGGCUCCAGCGUCAACAUUAUGCCCAGGGUACUCUAUGAAAAAUUCUUUACACAUCCUUUACUAGAAACAACCAUGUGUUUGCAGCCUGCAGAUCAGACACUAAGUUUCCCAAAGGGAAUAUUGAAGAACCUCUGCGUCCGAAUUGGUACCUUAUACGCCCCAGCAUACUUCUUGGUAAUAGAGACUGAUACUGAUGAGAGGGCACCCAUCAUCCAAGGGAGGCCAUUCCUGAACACCACAGGAGCUGUCAUCUACGCUAGUACUACCAACAUCAGUUUUCACAUCAAGGGACGGAAAGAGAUGUUUUCCUUCAAGAACAAGACUACACAAAUCCCAGAGCAAUCCUGACAUGAACCAAGGAAGAGGACCAACAGGAGGGACAGGAACAAGCAAAUGUGGACCGAGUCAGCUAAGAUGGUCACUGCAGUUCAAGGAGGUCAAGAUCAUCAACUUAAGUCACCGUUCCUGACCAAAAAGGAUGACCCAGCUCCAGAUGGCAGAUCAGACAUUCCGAAAGGUUGAAGGUUAUUGACAUGGGAGAAGACGAGUACGAUCCACUCAUCAUCCUUGGGAGAUCGUUCCUCAGCACUGUUAAAGCAAUCAUCUGCAUUGGAACCGGAGAAGUCCACAUGUACUUCCCCUCUGAGAAGGUACGCCGCUAUUUUUACUGACCUUAACUAUAUAGUUAAAGACUCUAAGCAGGUCAGGACAAGAAGAAGACGACGCAACCGCAACCAGAGGAGGCAAAUCAUCAAGGACGGAUGGGCAGACUAUGAAGGAGAAGUUGUAAGGUCUGAAGACAUACAACUUGAACAGAAUUGUCCUGAGGAGACCAUAGCACCGAGUCAGGUGUGGAGAGAGAAGAUAGUUAUACAUGAAGAGUAGGCGCCGCCGGAACCACCGACUACGCCAUCCAGCGAAUCCCAGGAUGAUUGAGGAAACGGAGAAUCCUGUUCGGAGAACAUAAACACACCGAACGCCUUGCCAAGAGGUAAACUUGGUAGUUAUCUUUUCAAUAGUUUGCUUAGUUAAUCAGGCUCAUAUCAUCUCAAAAAGAAAAUAAAAAUGUUAAAAAUAGUAAGCCCCAUGUGAGUAUGCUCAUGGCAUAAAACCCAUAAGUACAUUCACUGUGGUGGCAUAAAAGUAAAAUGAAUAUAUUCUUGUCCUAUCAAAAUGAAAAUAUAAAAAUAAAUUUAUGAUCCUACUAAAGAGAGUAACAUUUAUUGAGGAGGCUCAACAUGAUAAAGGCUAGAUAUUUGUGCUAACACUUAACUAGUUCCACAAAGCUUUGUUGUCUAUUUGAGCACCACAAAAUUCAAGGAUCAAAGAAGACUAGGAGACGGAGGACAUCCUAAUUGCUGUCAGGGUGCUGCCGACAUUCAAAUACACCUCUGCCACCUGCUAGCUACAUCAGAAGAAAUUACGUCAAAAUCCGGCUUGGGGGAGAGCAACCCCAUUUAUCCAGCUAAGUAUUCUACUCAUGUUUAUACUUUACUCAAAUAAUAAAAAGAUGCAUAAUCAUAAAUACCCAAAUAAAGAUUUUAUUCUUAUAUAUAUCUUUGCUAAGUUUGCUAAAUAAAUAAACAAAUAAAUAAAUAAAUUUUGCUAUGAACCCUCAUGAUAAGCUCUCACAUGGAAAUGAUGAAUAGUUGCUUUGACAUGACUAAUUCUCAAAAUUGAAAUCUCUCUCAAGUUUAGGCAUGACUGUUAUUAAUUAAGAUUUGCUCUAAACCUAAACUUGUGGGAAGAGUACUUGAUCUAAAGUCUAAGUUGUUAACAGAUACAAUAUGGGAAGGUUGAGCUGCUGUUUGUCUGUUCCUAGAGAUGCUAGAAUUCUGGAGAAUUUUAUCUUUGAAAAUCUUUAAAAUGUUGCAUGAUGAGUUCCUGUAUGAUGAGAGUUUAAAAUCCUACCACAGCCAUAUAUACAUGCUUAUUAGACUAUGAGCCACACAUUUACUUUUUACUGCUUAUGAGCAUUGAGUGUGGUCAAGCUGUGUAGACCCUUAGGACCUUGUCAUGUGGUUAAAAUCAAGAUUCACUUGCACGUUCACUCACACAUGUUGCUUCUACUCUGAAAGUACGCAUCCACAUACAUCCACUCAUUUCCAUAUCCAGAUUCACCCAAAAUUAUUCUACUCCUAAUCCGGGAGAGAAUAGCCAAAAAUAUUCUCCUAAUCCUGUUUUUCCCUGUGAAAUAAAUGCUCAAGAUAUCUUGGUUACUACCACUUGCUAUAUUAUUUCGAGAGAUGAGUGCUCAAAAAAAAGAGAAUACGAGGAAAUAAAAAGGGGCAAGUGCCCGGAACGUCGAAAAAAAGGAAAAAGUCAGACGAUAGGUAAAAAAUGGACAAGUGUCCAACAGUAGAAUUAGGGGUACAAGAUACCCACCUGAGAGAAAAGAAAAAUAAAAUAUAGAGCAUCUCAUUCUCCUCAAAAGUUGCAAAGAGCAAGAAAGGUAUGUAUCCCCUCAAAAGAGCAAAAGUAGUAUUAAACUAUCACCAUUGUUAUCACCAUCAUCACCAUACACCAUUCAUUCGCCACACAUGCACAUCUUGAUUUGACUUAUAGACUUGUUUCUCUGGUUCCAUGGUUUGACUAUGCAACAAAUGUCUUGUAAGUAUGUAUUAGCUGUCUCCCACCUAUGAGCUCCAGAUAUCAAAACUUUAUUAGAAUAGGGUGAGAGAGAAGGCAAUGCCACUAUGUCUCAUACCAAAAAUACCACAUACUUUGAGAGAAGGCAUACACUAUUACUGCCUUGGUAAGGAUCCAGAAAUACCACAAAAGAAAGAAUAGAGUGAGUCAUACAAGGAAUCUCUGAGUUUUAUUUGAAAAUCUGCAAAAACUCCAGAGCUAUAGUUAAUCAAAGUGCAAGAGACAUGGCGCUUGACUAGACCGUUCUAUCUUUUAACUGCUCAAGACACAAGUGACGGUUACAAGCCCCAUGGUGGAAGGUAAAAUGAGUAAGUUUAAAUCUUAAUAGUUUACCCUAACCCAGAGAUGAGAUCUUGUUUGAACGCAUGUGUAUGUUUAAGGCAUAAAACCACUGCAGAAACUCUUGAGUUCAUCUUUGCUCAGAGACAAGCAAAGGUUAAGCUUGGGGGAGCUUGUUGACGGUCCUUAAUGCUCACAUUUUAACCAUCAACUAAUCAUGGAAAAGGACUUAUAUGCAACCAACACCUAGACUUAGGGUUUUAUAUAAUAGAAUUCCACCAGUUUUGGUGUUUGUCUAUUACUAUAGGGGGUUAUCAGGAAAUACAGAGGAAAGGCCCACACGUCGGGUUUACAUAUAGAUAUUAACGUGCCGCGCAAUUUUCUAUCAUCUAGAAGACUCCAGAAGCCACGGGAACGAACGGGAAGCCGAGAGGGCUCAGGGACAUGGCGCCCGCCUACUCUCCUGGGCGCCCGCCCACUUCCAGAGUCCAAACAGGACACGUUUCGCGGAUCACGCUCCACCGACCUAAAGGAUCAAGGAAAACCGUGCGAUUAAUGUCGGUUUGAUCCAACGGCCCAGAUUCAUCUGAAAAGACUAUAUAAGCAAGGCCCCCUGGCCCCUGGAGAUCAUACCUCUUCUACAUAAUCAAAGUUAGGGUUUCAAUUCUUCAUCCAAG